rnacentral:lncRNA from 1 species
GAGACUGCGUGUGAGUAUUGAACAUGACAUGGGAGGAACCACUGUUGCACCCAAAACAAUAAGAUUUUUUGUUCCAUACUGGAUUACUAAUGAUUCAUCUAUUUAUUUGGCAUAUCGAGUGGUAGAAGUAGAACCUUCGGACAAUGCAGAUACGGACUCCCUAAUGCUUUCUAGGGCAGUCAACUCUGCAAAAACAGCCUUGAGAAGUCCCACAAACUCUAUGGACAGGAAGCAUUCUGCCACAAGGAGAAACAUCCAAGUACUUGAAGUUAUUGAGGACACUAGUCCUGUUCCUAGCAUGCUUUCUCCACAAGAUUAUGCCAGCCGUGGUGGGGCUUCGCUGUUUCCAUCUCAAAAAGAUGUGUAUUUGUCCUCACGAGUGGGGCUUUCUGUUGCCAUUCGUCAUUCAGACAUUUACAGUCCUGGGAUAUCUCUUUAUGAGCUGGAAAAGAAGGUGAUUUCAAUGGAGCAUCAAAUUGGCUUACGAUAUCCAUUUUCCUUCUCACGAGUAUCGCUUCACAGUUGCUGAAAUUUGUUCUCUAUUAUAUGAUCUUUGAACUUUCUUUUCCAGGAAAGGCUUGAUGUAAAAGCAUUCAGUUCGGAUGGAUCCUAUUACAAGCUUUCAGCGAGACUGAGCAUGACCUCAGACAGAACAAAGGUUGGAUUUAAAUAUCUUGUGACUUAAAUCUUUAAUGUUUCUCGACUGAUGAACUGCUAGGAAGAAUGUGAUGAGGGACUUACCAAAUUAGUCUGUAAAACAUUAGCUCUGAAGCCUGUUUACAGAAAAUAAGAUGACCCUUAGCCUAAAGAAAAAUGAUGAAAGAUUCUCUUCACCAGGCCAUCUGCAUGUUUAGAAUGGACAGAAGGUUCCUUACUUCUUAGUCCUUAGUAAAAGAAGUUGUUGUUAGUCCCUAUUUUUUGUGCUCUUUGGUACUGAUAAGCUAUGCAUUUGUCAAGUUUCUUUGGUAUAUGGUAAUAAUAAUAAACAACUGCUCAAUGGUUAAUAUUCAGGUUGUGCACUUCCAGCCCCACACCUUGUUUAUUAAUAGAGUUGGUUACAGUCUCUGCCUGCAACAGUGUGAUUCUCGGUCCGUGGCGUGGAUUCAUCCCACGGAUUCUCCAAAGCCUUUUUGUUGGCAGUCUAGUGCCAAAGUUGAACUGUUGAAGGUCCGUGAAGUUUUAAAAUCUCUCAUGUUCGCUAAUUAUGCAUGAAUAGCAUACAUUGUCUGAAUCCCAUAUGGGAUUUAUUCUUCUUAUCAGGUGCGGGUGGAUGGUUACAAUUGGAGUGCACCAUUUAGUGUUUGUUAUGAAGGUAUCAUGCGUGUUUGCUUGAAGAAGGAUGCCGGAAAUGAUCUACUUCAAUUUCGAAUAGCUGUAAGAAGUGGAGCAAAGAACUCAAGCUAUGAAGUUGUUUUCCGUCCAAACUCUUCCAUGAGUCCUUACAGGUAACAGUUCACUAUGUCUUAUGAAAUCUUGUGAAAUGGAAAGAGAUAAUGUAGUUAUCAUAACUCAUAAGGUAUCAUAAGAUAAGAAAAAUAAUUCUGUUUUACUAGAGUGAAAUUUUGUUGAACUUGUAAUGUCUGUUCAUGUGGAAGUUGUCUUAGUACAGUAAAAUAAAUACAUAAACAUGGUUUAAUCUCCUUUACUUGUAUGCAUGUGUUCUUUUGUUUUUGGUCCACUGCUGAUAGUUUUCUAUCAACAGGAUUGAAAAUCGUUCCAUGUUUCUACCCAUCCAAAUUCGGCAAGUGGAUGAUACCAACGAUUCAUGGAAAUUUCUUCUUCCCAAUACAGCAGCUUCUUUUUUAUGGGAAGAUCUUGGCAGAAGACGUUUAUUAGAGAUCCUGGUAGAGGGGGAAGACCCAUUAAAAUCAGAGAAGAAUGAUAUUGAUGAGAUUUCUGAUCACCAACCCAUUCAUGUGGGAAAUGGGCCUUCUAAAGCUUCACGUGUUACUGUAAUAAAAGAAGACAAAGUGAAUGUCAUCAAGAUCAGUGACUGGAUGCGAGAAAGUGAUCCGUCUGGAAUCUUGAGUACAAGCCACUCAUCACCUAUGUCUCAGCUUUCUAUACAGAAACAAUCACCAAUAAUCACUGAUUGUGAGUUUCAUGUUAUCAUUGAGCUUCCUGAGCUUGGAAUAUCCAUUAUUGACCAUACACCCGAAGAAAUCCUGUACCUUUCGGUUCAGAAUCUUCAUUGUGCAUAUUCAACUGGCUUAGGUUCUGGAAUCAGUAGGUAAGUUUGCUAUCAAUUUUGUGGCUUGGAGAACAAUUUGCUUAAUUUAUUAGUCAGUGCGGGUGCAGUCUUCUUAACUGUUGAAAAGCUGCUGUGACCUUGAGUGUUGUUGUAAUGAUAUUUUUUUUGUUUUUUGUUUGUUUCUGGUGUGAUUAUUAGAUGCUGUUAGUAGAAUUAGGUAUAUUGACAUCUUGUCCUCUGUUUUGUACAGUUUCAUUUUAUUAUUGAUAGUUUAUUUCCUAUCGGGAAAAAUAGGAAAAGAACAAUUGUUAUUGUGCAUAUAUAUAUUUUUUAAAUAUUAAUAUGUUAUGAAAUACUUAUGUGUGUUGCAGACUAUUUGAAUAUAUUGCUAUUCAAAAGAAAAUAUUAUCGCUUAGCAUUUAGGCUUAAUUGGUAAAAUAAGAUAUAUAAUAUACUAGCAGUCAACAGUUGGUGUGAUAGGCUUUCAUGUUAUGAGGUCCAUGGUUCAAGCCUCAGCAGAUGAUUUGUUGUUAAUUCCUGUUAGCAGAUCUAUAUGAGAAUCUCUAUUCAGAAGCGUAAAUUUGGCUUAAUUAGCAAAAAGACCUUUAGGAUGCUUUUGUUGAAUCUUGGACUGUUUAUGUUUCUCUUUCAACAGCAGGUUAUUAAAUCUGGAGUCUUCUGUUUCCUGUUUUCAGGUUCAAACUUAGAAUGCGAGGGAUACAAUUGGAUAACCAGUUGCCCCUUACUCCAACACCUAUUCUUUUUAGACCACAGAAAGUUGGAGAAGAUACUGACUAUAUCUUGAAACUUUCAAUCACAAUGCAAUCAAAUGGGUCACUAGAUCUAUGUGUCUAUCCAUAUAUCGGUCUCCAGGUAAGUAUAAGAGAGUUAUCAUUUUCCAAUAGAAGGUUUUCUGAUAUUUUUUCUCCAAUUUAUAUUUAAUUAUAUGCAACUGAUUAUUCAGGGACCUGAAAACUCUGCCUUUUUGAUAAACAUUCAUGAGCCAAUCAUUUGGCGCCUUCAUGAGAUGGUUCAGCAGGUCAACCUCAGUCGGUUGUCUGAUACUCAAACAACUGCUGUUUCUGUUGAUCCAAUUAUUGAAAUUGGGUAUGCCAGGACUUCUAAAAUUGUCUUUUCAUAGCUUUUCACUACAUUUAGUCAUAAUUCCCUUAAAUAAUGUUACUUGUACUUGCAGAGUUCUUAGCAUUUCAGAGGUUCAAUUCAAAGUGUCAAUGGCUAUGUCACCUAGUCGGCGGCUGAGAGGUGUCCUUGGAUUUUGGGCAUCUUUGAUGAUUGCAUUGGGGAACACUCCGAAUAUGCAAGUAAGUGUUGGGAUUCUUCCUCCCGCUGUUUUGUGAUUUCAUGGUUUUUAUUUUUUUUUUUUCUGGAAUUCAUCCUAGAAUUUCAUCUGGCCUAAGUACUUACAUUUGUUAUUUUAGGUGAGGAUAAAACAAAAUUUUAAUGAGAACGUGUGCAUGAGGCAGAGUACAGUGAUUAGCAUUGUUAUUUCAAAAGUUCAAAAGGCAAUGAGAAUGAUGAUAGCAUCAGCAAUAACUUCCGAUGAGCAUCUCCUCCGCAAAAGGCUGCCUCGUGUUAUUGGUGGUGAUAAUUUGAUUCGACCUUAUGACGACUACAAAGCACAGGGACAGGUACUAGUUGUUCGACUGCUUUCAAUCCUCAGUAAAAAAAAUUCUUUCCAUGUAACUUGGUUUGGUUUUUAUUGAUACUGCCUUCAUUGCUUGUUCUUACUCCAACUUUCUUGGCCAUGAAGGCUAUAUUGCAGCUGGCAGAAUCAGGUUCAUUUUUCCUCCAGGUUGAUCUGUUUAAAGUGCGUGGGAAGUUUGCUCUAUCAGAUGCUUAUGAGGAUCACUUUUUACUCCGCAAAGGAAGAAUUCUUCUAGUCACUCAUCGAAGAGUGAUACUGUUGCAUGUAAGUUAGCAGGAUUAGAAUCAUUCGUAGUGCUAUCAGUCCUUUCCUAUCUUCUAUAAGCCAUCCUCAAAAGUCAGCAAACAAUGACAUUGUAACUUUUGUCAUCAGCAACCCUUAGCUCAGAAGUUCAACCCGGCUAGGGAUCCGUGUUCUGUAUUGUGGGAUGUACUGUGGGAUGACCUGGUGAUAAUGGAGAUGGCACAUGGGAAAAAGGACCACCCAAAAGCUCCACCUUCACGGGUCAUUCUUUAUUUACAAGAUAAAUCAGAGAUGAGGGAACAAGUUCAUGUCAUAAAGUGCUUCCCUGAUACCCCCCAAGCACUGGACGUGUACUCUUCAAUUGAACGAGCAAUGAACACUUACAGACCAAACAAACAAAAGGUUAGAUUGUAACGCCAUACCUCUGAGCUCUGCAGCUUCAUGUUAUUGCAUUGACUUUUAACUUUGUCAAGCUUGGCUGACCAUGGAAUGCUAAAAUUGUACAUGCAAACUAAAGAAUAAUUGAGAAUAUUGUACACCCUUGCAUUGCUGUUGCUGAUAGAUACGGAUCUUUAACACAUUGCAAAAGUUCGUGAUAUUCAUCUUUUUCUGGAUAGUUGACGUUUUGCUUUGUAAUGAAUUUUCUUGCUUUGCAAUGCUAUCAGAAAAUGCUGAAAAAGAAUGUGACAAUGCCAUAUGCGCCAAUUAUUGAUAGCGCCAGUGCUGAAGCUACACCAAAAGAUCCAGGGUCGCCCCGACUGGUGCCUGCAUCAAUUCCUCGUUCAAAUUUUGGUAGCCGCUCCAACUGGUGAGGAACUAUGGUGUUUGGAAUUUCUGCUGUGGUUCAGUCACAAUCCUGCAUGCUCAGAUUUUUGUACCGUUCCCAGGUAUUCAAAUUGUGAUCAUUGCAUGAAGAAUUAUUGCAGUUAUCAUAUUGGCAAAACAAAAGGUUUGUGAUAAGUCCAGUAUACAUUAAUUUCUUAGGUUUACAAAAAUGAUGAGGUGGUUUCAAGCAGGUGUUUUGUAAGCCAUGUAAAGGACUAGCGUUACCAGAGCUCCCUAUAAUUAUGUACAGGUUUCAAACAUUCCUUGUAUAUGUCUUAGAAUAGUCUGUAUACGCACUGGACUACUGAAGGUGACCACGCCGAUGAGUUUGAAAGCUGAUUGUAGGUCCGGUUCCAUAUGAACAUGAUGCUGUAUAAUUAGGCUCAGGAAGUAAAAUCCUAGUGAGUGCUUAGUGCUUAACGUAUGGUGAAGCGCCUUCGGACAAGUAAAAGAACAUCACCUAUUCAACUGUAAGAGCUGUCAUAUAUUUGUUUCAUGCUCAUUCGAUUACGCUGGGGAAUCAAACUAUCUUUGGAAUAGUUGUCACUUUGAUCCAAAAACAAAGAAACGUUUAAACGAAUUCCUGUUAUCGAUGUGAUUUAGUCUAAAUUCCCACACCUAGUGUUGUAUAAAAGCAAAUUAUUGGCAAGGAUUUGAGCCCAAAUGCUCUUUUGCCUUGCCAAAAUGGGCUAAAACUCAAAAGCUGCCGCCCCAAUGCCAAAUUGCCCGACAAAAGUACACCCAAUACAAAAUCUCUAGACACCAAAUUUUCUUGGUCACCCAUGUUCCAAUUUCAAGUUUUUUUGGUUUCGGCAUGCUUUUGACAUGUAGUAGUACUGGUCUACUAGCACGCAGUUGAGCACACUCUCCAUCUGGAUGUUCUUGAAGAGGAUGCCGGAGACGCUGCCCAUCCCGCCUUGCCGUGUCUUGAUUCGGACGCCGUUGUCAGAUUCAUGUUUUAGGAAAUAUUAUAAUAGUUAAAUUAGGUGGGGGUUGAAUUUUUUCAAUGCUAUUAUAUAUACAAGUGACACAUCAAUUGUCACAUAAUGGGAUUUUAGUAAUUAGUUUGAAUCCUAAUCUUUCUGGGCAUGUUUAGGAAGUUGUGAAAAAAGUAGAAAGGAUGUUUUAAGCUCAUUUGAUGAUUGUUCAGAGGAGAAUUCUGGUGAUAGUUCAGAGGAAGUGAAGGUUUAUUUAUUCUUUUAAUCCAAUUGGAAUGUGUUGCAAUAAUAUCAGUCUUUGUGAGAUCAAAUGAAUUACACUUGCCUCUUUCCCUCAAUUUUGUUAUUAAUACAAAAUAGGAUUCAGAUCAAAAUAUAUAUCCUAUCAAAAUAGAAAUAUAUUGUGGUAACAGAAUUAUGAUCUUAUGGGAAAUAUAUAAGUGUAAUUGCAUACUUUUUAACAUGGAGAAAAUUUGAAUUUGUAUUUUAGAAUUAGUGCUCUUCUUAAUGUUCAACUGUCUAGAAAUGAUUUUUGAAAUUGUAUUUUAGAUUUGUGAUUUUGAUUCUGAACAAAGGAACUAUAAUUCCCUUUCUGGAUUCCACAUGUAUAUGAAUAGUAUCACCUAUCGUAUAUGUACAUUUACAAAUUUUACAUGUUCUAAACAGUUUUGAAACUCUUCAACCUCCAUUAUCUUUAUGGAUAUAUUUCCAAAAUAUUUUAAACACCGAAGGCAACGUACAGACACUUUUUCUCCAACUCGGUUACGGGGUACUGUUUAUGACCAGUGGGCGGACUCUUUUGCCCCUCGGUUUCUCCUUGCUCUCCCGCUUUGUCGCCUGCUUCGUACAAUGGAAAGACGCUUUUGCCCAUUCUUUCCACGCGUCCGUCAUCGUUGAUAUAUCCACUUCGAAUUCUCGAGUCUUCUUUUACGUUUAACCCUUUGUUGCUUCUGGUCCUCCUCUGAUUCCUACCUUAUUCUCGCUGUUCUUCUCUAAUUGUUUGUUCCUCUUAAAUAUUGUGGUCUCUGCAUCGGAAAAUAUUGGAGGAAAGUUCCUGCUUUUUGUCCUUUUAAACCUGGGGUUGUGGGUGUUUUGCCCAGCCUCAUAAAAUUGGUCUCUAUUUCUAGAGUUGCGAUCGGAGUGCGGGAUUUCGCAGUUUUUGCGUUCGUUUUCAUCUGGGAUUCACGAAUUUUGGCCGGAUAUGUUUCCUGUCUUCUUCUCCGUUUGAGCGCUGUCCUUAGAUCGUUGAGCGCCGGCUGUCUGUUGAUCGUUGGGAAAUAAAUUUUAUACAACUGAGGUAUGUUUUAUAACUGCUGUCUUUCAGUUUUUUAUUUUGUAUUUUUGUUAGUUUGGAUGAAAAUGUAAUAAUUUUGUUUUGGGUUAGUUGUGGUCUUCAAGAGCAGUGCUCCGUUUGGCGUCGUUUUGAACAUCACAAGGGCCGCCUCCCUCCCCGCCGCUUGCAACGUCUCCUCUCCUUUCGUGGCCGACUGUGGAUGUUUGUCUUUCUUCUCUCCUCCCUUUUUAUUUAUUUAUUUUAUAGAUUUCUUGGAAAUUAAGAUUUGCUGCUUACUUCUUCUUUUUUCCCCAUUUGUUUGUUAUUUUUUCAGUAUCUACCACUCCCGCUGGUGCCCCUGGUAUUUUCUUAUUAUUAUCUUAAUGCUGCUCUGAUAUUUGUUUGUUGUUUUUUUUAGUGCACGAGAUUGAUCUUUGUUUUAUUAUUAUUUUUUCAGCUGGUGUUUAAUCUUUCCUGCUACAUCAAUUCGAAGAAUUGGCUAAUAAAAAAAUUUGGUGAUAGCAGUGACUCGGGAGAUAAGAAAAGAAGCAAAUUGGCGGCACUCCGUUUGUGGUAUCCGUUGUUGCUGGAGGCUCUGCCAGGUAUGCAGACUGUUGACAGAUUUGGACAUUAUAUUCUCUGUCCACUGUUAUUUUAUUACUUUUGUUUUAUGCUUGGAAUUACAUUACAACUAUAUAAAUGUAUCAACACUUUGGGUAGAUGUGGUGAGCCAUGCACGAAUCGUUUGAGAUGCAGGGCUAUUAUAAUUGAAUCAGACCCGGGUCUUAAAAAUGAAUGGAUUGUUAUCCUAUAUGGAUGUUGGUCAACUUAUCUCAAUGAUGCUAAUUUAGGAUUUCAAUCCAAAUUAUAGGGACUGAUAUUUUAGUAAUGUAGUUCAAUCGAAUUUUUGUCCAAUCAUAAAUCAUAAUUCAGUCUGGUGAGCAUUGAGAAUUAAUUUUGUAGUGUCCUUUGGUGAAUCUGACUGUAAAUGCAUUCCAAAAGAUGGAUAAAUGACAAAGCUAAGCUUAAACAAAAAAUAAAUUUGAUUGAAAAAGUAUUGGUAAAACAUAAAAUUGUUAAAGGCUCUUAUGGACUGUUUAAAUUAUACAUCAAACUCUGUUUCGUUUGAGGUCAUCGUGUGGUUUUUGGUUUCUUUGAUUUCUUUCAGUUGCUUUGUUUGUUGUUUGGAGCUAUGGUUAAAAUGCUUAUACAGAUACUUGACACAAAAGGUAAUAGCUACAAUUAGGUUAGUAUUUAAACAUUGAUAACCGUUAAGAAUUAAUUUUAUAAUGCGUUUUGGUGAAUCUAACUGUGAAUGUAUUGUAAGAAGUGAAUAGAUGACAACUGUUUGUAGUAAGUUUUGUCUCAAUCCUUAACAUCAUCUUAUAUCUGAUUGAUUCUUUGUUGGUCUGUGCAUCUAAGAGCUCUUAUUGAUUUUCUUGUCUUCUUUUGUGCAUGUAAGAGCUAUGUACAUAGAUUUUGCAAUUCAUGUAUAGUUUUUCGUUGUUAUGGAAUUUUUAUGUUCCCAUAAAUUUUUUCAUGCGUUUGUGAAUUCUAAAUAAAUGCUGGAUAAAAUUAUUGGCUUAUACGCACUAAUGAAACAUGGCAGCCUUUUAGCUGCCGCCUAAGGAUUUUUUUAAUAAUGAUGUUGUUAAAGCGAUUAUAUGCUCUAUCAAGUAUGUUUUAUAUAUAGUUGUGGUUGCCCAUGUUGGCCGCUCGUCUUUCAUCCUUAAUCUAUCUACCUCGGCUGUCUUCUUCUUCACUUUACCUUUGGUUUUUGUUCUAAUGCUUUGCUAAUAUGUGCUUUUGCUGUCCUUGUCUCACCCUUUGUUUAUCACAAAUCCUUCGUUCCUCUUAAAUAUUGUGUUUGACUUAGAUGUAGAAAUGAGGUUUUAUUAAUUUUUUUGACUUUUCUGAGUUUUGUAACUGCAUUUGUAAAAUCCAGUAUAGUUUUCUAAAGUUCGUUAAGAGUUGAUGUUAUUUUUUUUAUAGGUUUCUGAAAAUCUCAGUAAUUGUGGUUUCAGGCUAUUUCUUCCUACCUUUGGACGCGCUUUGUCCUCAAGGUAACUGACUUAAACUUCUGCAUUUAUUUAUUAAAAGUUUAAUUGUACAGUCUAAGUUUUGUAACUGCAUUUGUAAAAUCCAAUAUAGUUUUUACAAAAUCCCUUCAGCAUUUAAUUAACAGAACAACAUUCACAAUUUCAACCAAAAUUUCAAAAACCACAAGGUAAACUUACAUUUAAAAAUUCAUAAAGAAAGCAAAUUGUAAUUAGAAGCCUGAAUAUAGCUUGUCCUGGACAAAUACUCUUCAAGGGACCAAAAAAACACUUAUCAGUGGAACAACGUUUCAAUCUUUUUUCUUCUAUGAAGCCCCCAUAAUCUUGAUUUACUUUUUGUAGGAUUCUUCGUUUAAAUUUCCAGGGUCUAGGACAAAUUUUCUUUUAAAGUUAUGGAACCUUUUGAUAUGAUUUCAUUUUAUCUAAAUUAUUCAUUUAGUUUUUGAGAUGUUAUAUCAAAAUAUCUAGAUUGACUCGUACUCAUUAGGCCUUUCAGAUUUACGAAGUAGGGGAUUGGGUUGUCAAGAAGCACUAAGUGCUCGAAAGUUUCAAGUAGGCUCAAAAGUUUUCUCCAUCUUUUAAAGUUCUUCAUUUUUCCCCAUUUUUUAUUAUUUUAUGUUUUCUGAUUGAAUUUUUUUGGAUUCCAUGAGUUAGUUAGCUAAAACUACAAGUGAGUUUGUUAAAUUUUGUCUCCAUUAGGCAUAGAUGAACUGAAAGAUAUGAGGCAAAUCUGUGGGACAACAACUGCAAGAAGGGACAAUCAGAAAAAGGAAGGCAAGAUUGGUCAAUAAAAACGAAACAUCAUUCUUACUAUUUGUUUGGAAUUGUUUCUUUUGAACUAAAAUUUUUUUUUUUUUUGGUCCCUACCACUGAAAUCUGAGUUAUGCUAUUAAUUGCUGCUGAGAUCUGACUUAGCUAUUAAUUUUUUACAUUCCAAGUUUAUGUUUGAUUCCAUUCAAAUCAAAUAAUGUAGUUUAUAUUGAUAUGAAUUUUCUCUACAACAAUAGUAAAGGAUUGUAGUUUAAAUUAUCACUGACUUGUUUGUGAUUUAGCAUUGAUUUUCUGUUAAUUUGACCUGGAAGUGGCUAUGAUAUGGAAAAGAAGCUGCAAGAGCUUAUGAUCUUGCUUCAAGAACUUCGUCUACUCAUAUAACUUUCCAGUAGGGUUCAAACUCUUAGUUUUAUGAUUUUGUAAAAGCUUUUUAGUAGCAGAAGUUUCAUUCUGUUGGUCAUUUUGCAGUUGCAUUAGUACACUAUACAGCUUGAGUAGACCAAAAACAUGAGUCAUUAUAUGAUUUUCUGUUUAGGACAUUGCUACUGAAUCUAUGAAUAAGUGUCGCUCGACCAAGAAGCCCUAUUUGAGGUCCAUCUCCAUCUCCACCGCAACCUUAGCUCUUGACUGUGUUAGUGCAGUAUAAUAGUCGUCCUUUUACUUGAUAAAUGUGUUCGGUAUAAUAUUAUAUUUUUCCCAUCUGUUAAUAUGGUUUCGGAGUUCACUAAAAUCCCUUCGAAUUUGCUUCAGUUUUUAUGAGAAGAUGAGGCGGAGGCAGUUGGUGCUACUCUUGGUGUGACCAAGGAAGUUCUUGCGUUCAUUGGGAAUAUCUCUGUGCAUCCGGAGACAUAGCUCGAUUUCCAACGACGAAGAUUCAGAUGGUGUACUCUGCUUCAAUUUGUCAAUUUCUUUGUGUAAUUCAAUUCAGUGUGCUUUGUUUUCAUGAAACUUGUUGAUGCACAAAAUCAGUGAGGAUUUUGGUACAAUAGAAAAUGUUAAGUUUGUGACCUUCGCUAGAUUGCUCCGGUCACUAGUGUGAAUAAGUAUGUAAAUGGAUAGGGACAGGGAAGCAAACACAAGAUGUACGUAGUUCACUCAGAUUGGCUACGUCUACGGAGUAGAGGAGUUCUCAUUAAUUGUUAAGGGUUUACACAAGUACAUAGGUUCAAGCUCUCCUUUAGUGAGUACUAGUGAAUGAUUUAGUACAAAUGAUAUUAGGAAAUAUUGUGAGAGAAUGAUCUCUAUUUAUAAAAGAGAGUUUCUAGUUUCAUUCUGACAUUGAUACUUGUCGUGUUGUGAUUGGCUUCUGAUAUUGACACAUGUUGCGCUAUGAUUGGUUUCUGAUGUCGACACGUGUCGCGCUGUGAUUGGCCUCCUGGUUGGAGGGAAACUUUUCUGGGUCUUUGACGGUAUAACGUUGACCGGUACUCAGUAGUUUCGGGAUUGGUCAAGUAUGGUACAAACAGUGCUCUCAUAAGUUCCCGAGUGAGGGAAGCUCCUCGGUUGGGGACUUGUAAGAUCAAAGACAUUGAGUAAUCACGAAACUUCUCAAUAUCGAAGUGUGGUAUCAUUUUCACUUAUCUUAUAUGUCUCAUAUGUAAAUGUGGCAUCUUUUCUGUAAGUACUUUUCCUCCAUCCAGGGGUGGUAUCUUUAACCAAUGAAGAUGCACAAGGUAAUAUAUCAAUUUCACUUGAAGUUUACUUGUAGUUUCGGGCUUGGUCAAAUAUGGUACAAACCUUAUAGUACGAGUCUUUCAAGUCGUCGAGCUAGGAGAUUUGCCGAAUGAGGUAACAGACAAGGUAAGCAAUCAAACUUCCAAGUAAGCAAUCCGGAUCGGAGGUUCGACUUCGUCUUCCGAUUGAUUGUUCUCUUUCUCCUUGUGUCGUAAACAACAAGUAUAAAGAGAAGCAAAUGGAGAAGAGAUGAUAUGAGAUAUUUUUGUUUUUGAAGAAGUAACUUUCCACAGGCUUAUUCUUGAACUGAGCUGGUGGGUUUUUUGGUUUCCUCUAAAGUAUAAGGCCAACUUAAGAAUUUGAGGGUCAAAACAAGUCCAUCAAAUCUAUAGUACGUUCGACCCUAAUGAUAUGGGAUACUUUUGCUGUCGACAAAGUAGUGGGUGUGGUAUGACGAAGUUUUACUUUUUGGCGACGGUGUUAGCGAAAGGUUGUUGAAACUUCUCGAGUUCUUUGGAUAGGGCAGCGAUGCUGGGUUUGGAAUUGAUUUAGACUUCUCUAUCUGGGUUGUGUGGUUCUAUAGGAAGGGCAUCGUGCUGUAGUGAUCUGUUGUAACUCAUGAUUAAUCAUUCUGCUUCAAUCUCUUACAACAUUUGUCCCCGAUGCAGGAGUGGAAUGCAAUCUUUGCAUUUAAAUGGUCCUUCAGAGCACUACUUCUCAGUGACUCAUCUAUGCGUUGCAGCUUCAGUGUAAAGCGUCAAUAUUGUAUCAACUGUUCUGAGGUAUUUGCCAAAGGACUUCGUGACCUUGACAACAGUUGAAGAUGAGUACUCGAGAGCAAUGCCAGGUAAGUAAUCAGGCAAAGGGUUCCGGCAGUCAGUUCCUGAUCGGAAGUUUGAUUUCCAAGAUUCUGACUGAUUGCUGUUUUUUCUCCUUGUCCUACAGGUAAGAGCAAGGGCAAAGGAAAAGACAGGGAAAAAGCAUGAUAUGGGAUACUCUUGUUUUUAACCCUGAUGAUAUGAAAUACUCUUGCUCUGAUGUGGCUUGUUUGCAUAAGUAUUAUCGAGGGAGGGGGAAAGAAGCUGAGUAUCUCGAGAGACUCUGCUAGGAGUGCCCUCUCAGAUGUGAAUAAAAAUUGAGCAUUUUUUUUUUUAUUUGCAGGUAUGCCUGGCUGUGGAGGAUGAAGGUCGACAUAUAUAGGAAUUGUCCCUAACAACAAGUAGUAACGUUAUUCCUUUACCCUUCUUGGUCAUAGCAGUGUAGUAGGAGCUGCAAGAUUCACAUGUUUUGACUUUGUCAGAGCACUUUGAAAAAGUGGUUUGUGGUAUCGGUAAAGCUGAUGUUGCGUGUGAAGAUUGUAGAUAAGCUUUAUCCAAGGAAAUCUGGCUCUCGAAGUUCGGAGAGCGGUGCCUCUUCGGUUUUCGAACAAGCAAUUCUGUCGGGGAUCUGGCUCUCGAGAUUCAGAGAACAGUGCCUCUUCGAUUUUUGAGAUAACAAUCUUGUUGGGAGUCUGACUCUUGAGAUUCGGAGAGCUGUGCCUCUUCAAUUUUUGAGCAAGUAAUCUUGUUGGUAGUCUGGCUCUCGAGAUUCAGAGGGCGGUGCCUCUUUGAUUUUUGAGCAAGUAAUCUGGUUGGGAGUCUGGCUCUCGAGAUUCGGAGAGUGGUGCCUCUUCGAUUUUUGAGUAAGCAAUCUUGUUGUGAGUGUUUUCUCGAAUGUGAGUAAAGGUUGGACAUUUUUGCCAGUCUGCCUUGCCACAGAGCACGGAGGUUGACACACAUAAGGACUUUCCAGUUAUCAAGCAGUGGUGCUGUUCCUUUACCCUUGUGGGUAAUAGUAGAGUAGCUGGACCUUCAAAAUUUAUGUAUCUAAACUUUGUUAGAGAUCUUUGGUAAAGUUAUCUGUUGUACCCGAGGAGUUGAUAUUGCGUGUCGAGGGUGGUACCUCUUCGAGAUCCGAAGAGUGGUGCCUUCGAUUUUUGAACCAACGGCCAUGUUGCCCUUUCUUUUAUAAGGGCACCAAUUGUGUGCAAGAAGUACAUUCAGAGAGUUAUUGUUUGUAGGAAUUUUUCCUCUUAUUUUUUGUAUUUCAGAGAUUUAUUGCACCUCAUUUCUCGUUCAUCAUUUCUGAGAAUGUCUGGCCCAUCCGACCGUCGUUUUGACUUGAACUUUGGUGAAGAGGCAGCCAUGCCUUCUCAAGACAACAUAUGGCGCCCAUCCUUCUUAUCCCCUACUGGUCCUCUUACCGUUGGGGACUUUGUGAUGAAGAAUGAUAUGACCGCUGCAGUGGUGGCCAGGAACCUUCUCACUUCCAAAGAUAACAGACUACUUUCCAAACGGUCUGAUGAGUUGGCUGUUAAGGAUUCUCUGGCUCUUCAGUGUUCAGUGUGCAGGUUCUGUGUCUAAUAUGGCCCAACGCCUAUUUGCUCGAACCCGCCAAGUUGAAUCAUUGGCGGCUGAAGUGAUAAGUCUCAAACAGGAGAUCAGAGGGCUCAAGCAUGAGAAUAAACAGUUGCACAAGCUCGCACAUGACUAUGCUACAAACAUGAAGAGGAAGCUUGACCACUACAGGAAUCUGAUGGUCAGAUUUUACUUGAUCAUCAGAGGUUUGUGGGUUUGUUCCAAAUGCAUUUAUUGCCUUCGUCUUCUGGGGCUGUACCGCGUAAUGAAGCUCCAAAUGAUCAACCUUCAGUGCCUCCUCCUUCUGGGGUUCUGCCCUAGUACUGAUGCUCCGAAUGAUCACCUUCCGGUGCCUACUCUUUUUGGGGCUCUACCGACUGCUGAGACUUCUCCUGAGCAACCUUUUUGAAGACUCUCUUGUUUGUUUAUUUUGAUUCAUGUAUAUGUACAUAUUUGUAACUUAUCGGAGAUAUCAAUAAACAAGCUUUGCUUCAUUUCAACGUAUUGUGUUAAAUACACCAAAGGCCUUCUUCACUAAGUUCUUUGAAUUUUUCUUUUGUUGAAAUUUGUAUGUUGAAGCUUUGUGAGUAAAGCAUGUAUGUUGCGGUAGUGCUCCUUUAAUUUCCCGAUUGAGGAAAACUUAUCGGUUGGAAACUUGAAAAAAUCCAAGUCACUAAGUGGUCGUGAGACUUCCGAGUAUCAAGGUGCAGUAGCACAUGGUAGGAGUCUCCCAAGUCUACGGUCAAGGGAGUUGACGAAUGAGACAUUUCCUUUCUAAGUGGUAGCCCAAAACUCCUUUAUAUAUAUUUGUUAUGAAAGUUGUUAAGUUCAAAGAAUAAGAGGUCUAGGCAAUUUUUUUUUUUUAAUUUUUGAAUUUUCGAAAAUAUAUAUAUAUAUUUAAACUCUGUAGGUGAAAUUUUGGUGUUGAAGUUUUGUAUGUGAAGUUUUGAGGUUGAAACUUUGUUGGGUAACAUAAAUUGAUUUUUCUUCACACUAUCUUGAUCAAGGUAGUGUGAAGCUUUUGUGUUGAAGCUUUGUAGGUGAAGUUUUUGUGGGUCAAGCUUUUGUUGGUGAAGUUUUUAUGGAUGAAGCUUUUGUGGUAGGUGAAGUUUUUGUGGCGGGUGAAGCUUUUAUGGGUGAAGUUUUUGUGGGUGAAGUUUUUGUUAGUGAAGUUUUUAUGGGUGAAGCUUUUGUGGUGUGUGAAGCUUUUGUGGUGGGUGAAGCUUUUGUGGGUGAAGCUUUUGUGGUGAGUGAAACUUUUGUGGGUGAAGUUUUUGUGGUGAGUGAAGCUUUUGUGGGUGAACCUUUUGUUUGUGAAGCUUUUAUUGGUUAAGCUUUAGAGUUGAAGCUUUUGUUAGGUACCAUGAAUUGAUUUUACUUCACACUAUCUUGAUCAAGAUAGUGUGAAGCUUUUGAAAAUUUAUAGUUAUUCUUCGUUGAUGAAACUUUGUUGAAUUUCCUAAUUUUUUUUUUUUUUGGAAAAACUAGAAAUUUGUUGAAUUUUUUUUUUUUUUUUGGAAAAAUUAGAAUUUUAAAAAUGUGGAAGAGACAGCAUAUACAAAUUUUGCUUUCAUACUGUUGAGCAAGAGAUUGUGAUACAAGUCAUACCUUGUAGUAGUCGAAGGUUUAGACGAACCAUAUAAAUUGAAUUUGCUUCGAAUAGUCUUGAUCAAGAGUGUGUGAAGCUUUCUACGAGUUGUGGUUGUUCUUUAUUGAUGAAGUUUUUGUUGGCAUCAUAAAUUGGUUUUGCUUCACACUGUCUUGAUCAAGAGUGAAACUUUUGAGAAUUCUGGUUGAACUCUUUGGUUUUGCUUUACACUGUCUUGAUUAAGAGUGAAGCUUUUGAGAAUUGUGGUUGAACUCCUUUCAUGAAGCUCUUGUUGGCACCAUAAAUUGGUUUUACUUCACACUGUCUUGAUCAAGAAUGUGUGAAGCUUUUGAGAAUUGUGAUUGCCCUUCAUUGAUGAAGCUUUUGUUGGCAUCAUAAAUUGAUUUUGCUUCACACUGUCUUGAUCAAGAGUGUGAAGCUUUUGAUAAUUGUGGUUGAACUCCUUUGAUGAAGCUUUUAUUGACACCAUAAAUUGGUUUUGCUUCACACUGUUUUGAUCAAGAGUGUGAAGCUUUUGAGAAUUAUGGUUGCCCUUCAUUGAUGAAGCUCUUGUUGGCACCAUAAAUUGGUUUUGUUUCACACUAUUUUGAUCAAGAUAGUGUGUGAAGCUUUCUACGAGUUGUAGUGUUUGCAUUGUUACAGAGGAGAAAUGUCUGAAGUAGAUGCAAAAGGGCUGAAUAGCUUGAUCUUCGUAUAACAUGCACUAAAGUUGUUGGCUUGUAAUAAGACUUUAUUGGUGACUAUAACUCUUGUUGGGUAUAAGUGCUCCCCUAGUUGAGUUGUCAAGCCUGAGGGUUUUUUAUUAUUUGUGAAUGCUAGAAGUUCACAUGUACAAGUUGUACCACUUGUCUUCUGGUAGGUGGAAUGAAUAGUGAGUUGAUUUCAUCACUUGGUUAGUGGUAUGAAUGUGAGUUCCUACAUCACAUUUCAUCACAUGGUUGGUGACACGAGAAUGAGUUACUUCUUCACCUGGUUGGUGGCAUGAAGGGCAAGUUGCCAAAUGUUAUUAGAGUACGGGUUGUACGUUUCAUCACCUGGUUGGUGACAUGAAGGAAAGUACGGGUUGUAUAUUUCAUUACCUGGUUAGUGGCAUGAAGAUGAAUUCAUUCUUCACCUGGUUGGUGGCAUGAGUGGCAAAUUGCCAAAUGAUAUUAGAGUACGGGUUGUACAUUUUAUCACCUGGUUAGUGGCAUGAAUGAGAGUACAGGUUGUACAUUUCAUCAUCUAGUUGGCGGCAUGAAGAUGAGUUCAUUCUUCACCUGGUUGGUGACAUGAGUGGCAAGUUGCCAAAUGAUAUUAGAGUACGGGUUGUACAUUUCAUCAUCUGGUUGGUUGCAUGAAGGAAAGUACGAGUUGUACAUUUCAUCACCUGGUUUGUGGCAUGAAAAUGAGUUCCUUAUUCACAUUUCAUCAUCUGGUUGGUGAGAAUAAGGGCAAGGUGUUGAGGCACAUUGUAGCAAGUGUCGAAUGACACGAAGUAUGUUGAACCCUUUCAAAGCACAAUUAACCUAUGUAUGAAUGUGUUGGAAUGUAUGAUUGAACAAAUAUACUGUGACUUUGUUUCAUGUUGAAAGCAUUCAUGUUGAAGCUUUGAACACGAGUGUUUCAUUGCUCGGAAUGUAAGAGGAUUAGGACCGAGUUGUCUAAAUCACCUCUUUAUUGAAUUCAUGCUAAAUAGUCUUCGUUACAUAGGAUGUCGAACGGCUGAAGCUUAACACUUGUACAAUGUGAGUUUACUUAUAAUUGUACUUCAAGUGAUCAGCAUUCUAUGGAUGGCCAAGGGUCUUGUCAUCGGAGCUUCUAAGCUUGUAGGAACCAGGGCGGCUGAUGUCAAUAACUUCAAACGGUCCAUCCCAGUUUGGACUAAGUGUUCUUUCACUCGGGACUCUGUCGCAGAGUAAUCUUUUCUUCAAUACCCAAUCUCCCACUUUGAAAAAAUGAGGUUUGACCUUUGAGUUAUAGUAGUUGGAGAUGCGCUGCUUGUAGGCGACAUUCCUCAAGUGAGCCUGGUUUCUAUGUUUUCGACUAGAUCUAAGUUGAGGGUAAGUUGUUUGUCAUUUUCGCUUUACACGUACUUCUGGAUUCGGAACGUUGCUUGUUCAAGCUCAACUAGGACAACUGCCUCUGUACCAAAGACAAGUGAGAAUGGGGUUUCUCCUAUUGAUGUCCGAUACGAAGUGCGGUAUGACCAAAGAACUUGGGGUACAAAUUCUGAUCAAUAACCUUUAACCUUGUCCAAGCUAGUUUUCAAAGUUCGCUUGAUUAUUUUGUUGAUGGCUUCAACUUGUCUAUUAGACUGGGGAUGAGCUGGGGAGGUAAAACAUAAGUUGAUGUUGAACUUAGAGCAAAACAUCCUGAACUUAUUGUUGUCGAACUGUUGCCCGUUGUCAGUGACUAUCGCAUUGGGAAUGUCGAAUCGGCAAAUGAUGUUCUUCCAUACGAAGUCUUCUAUUUUUGCCUCAGUAAUGGUUACCAAAUGUUCUACUUCGGCCCAAUUUCUGAAGUAGUCAACCGCAAUAAUUGCAUAGCAGACCUUGCAUUUCCCUGUAUGCAUUGGGCUGAUCAAAUCAAGUCCUCAUUGGGCGAAGGGCCAAUGGCUGAUCAUAGGAGUGAGCGACUCGGGAGAGGAGUGAGGAAUAGUUGUGUAACGUUGAAACUUAUCACAUGAGCAAGAUAUUCUGAUGGCAUCUUGGUGGAGUGUUGGCCAGUAAUAUCCUUGGCGAAAAGCCUUGUGUGAUAGGGAUCGAGAUCCAACAUGAUCUUCGCAGCUUCCUUCAUGUAUUUCCCGAAUUACAGUUUUCGCCUCUGCGUGCGUAAGGCAUUUUAGGUAUGGUAUGUUAAAACCCUGCUUGUAGAGUUGGUCAUUAAUGAUCAAGUAACGGGUAGCUUUGUAUCGAAUAUGCUUAGCAUGGACUUUAUCAUCUGGGAGGGUGUCAUGAGCAAAGAAUCUAUAAAUCGGGGUAAUCCAACUAUCCUCCUGUUGUAAGUUGCACACUUCCGCAGCCAUGGUGCUUGGUGCUGCCAACAAUUCGACCUAAAUUUUUCUCUCAAUCUUGUCUUCCACCGUUGAGACGAGGCGAGCUAAAGCAUCUACAUGACUGUUUGCCGCUCGAGGAAUUUGGGUGAUCUGGUAGUGGAAGUGUUUGAGCAACAAUUGUGUUUAUGCCAGAUAUGCUGUCAUGGAGCUAUCUUUGUCAAUGUUGUUGGUGACCUGGUUAACCACCAAUUGGGAGUCACUGAAGAUAUCAAUUCGUUUAACCCCAAGGUAUUUGGCCAAACGUAAGUCUGCUAGGAGGGCUUCAUAUUCGGUCUCAUUGUUCGACACCUUGAAUUUGAAACGAAAAGCAUACUCUAUCGCCAUUUUGUUAGGGGUCGUAAGGACUAGUCCUGCUCUACAACUCUGUUGGUUGAACGAGCCAUUAACAUAUAGACUCCAUGUUGGGGCUGUUGGUUCUAUUUUCUGAGCUUCCGAAGGUAAUGAAACCACUUCUUUAGGCAUAGAAACAAUGUCAACAAGAUAUGUGAAGUCGGCGAUGAAGUCUACCACUGCUUGGCCCUUCUCAGCUGGCUUUGGUUGGUAGGAGAUGUCAAACUUACCCAAUGCUAUCACCCAUUUGAUCAUUCGCUUGGAAGUGUCAGGACUUUGGAGUAUCUAUCGAAGGAUGAUUGGUAAGCAUAAUGAUAGAGUAUGCUUGGAAGUAAAGGCAAAGUUUUCGAGCAUACAUGACCAGUGCUAAAGCCAAUUUCUCAAUGUCAGAGUAUUAUGUCUCUGCAUCUUGUAAAGCCUUGCUAGCAUAGUAGACAAAUCGUUUGACAUUACCAUCUUUUCGAAUAAGAACGGAACUUACUGCUGAAGCUGAUACCGAUAGAUAGAUAAUGAGAAUGUCACCAACCUCAGGUUUGGAAAGCAAAUGGGCUUUACUCACGUAGUCCUUGAGGUUCUUGAAUGCCUCAGCACAUUCAUCAGUUCAUGUAAUGUACUUCUUACUUCCCUUAAGUGCUUUGAAGAAAAGAGCACAUCUAUCUGUGGCCUUAGAGAUGAACCUAGUUAAGGCUGUCACCUUGCCAGUAAGGCUUUGGAUGUCUUUUGAAGUUACCGGUUCCUUCAUGUCGAGGAUUUCUUUGAUCUUCUCAGGAUUAGCCUCAAUGUCUCGUUGGCUUAUCAUAAAGCCUAAGAAUUUUCCAAAGCCUACGCCGAAGGCACAUUUGUUGAGGUUCAACCUCAUUCGAUACCUCUUCAGAAUGAUGAAAGUUUCAGAUAGGUUGGUGAUGUGUUGGUCAGCAUGUUUGCUCUUGACUAGCAUAUCAUCAUCAUAAACUUCCAUGCUCUUCCCAAUCUGUUCAGCAAACAUUGAAUUGACUAGUCUCUGAUAAGUCGCUUCUGCAUUCUUUAGGCCGAAGGGCAUGACUUUAUAGCAAUAUAGUCCCCUGUCAGUAGUGAAGGCUGUGUGUUCUUAGUCCGAAAGGUUCAUGAGGAUUUUGUUGUAUCCUGAGUAAAUAUCCAUGAAGUUCAGGAGUUCACACCCUGUCGUAGAGUCUAUAAGUCUGUCAAUAAGAGGAAGAUGAAAGCUAUCAUUCGGGCAUCUUUUGUUUAAGUUGGUGUAGUUGAAACACAUUCUUCACAAGACCUUUUGGAGCUGAAGACUUUCUUUGGUUAGAUUUUUCUUAACAAAGACUACAUUUGCUAUCAGGAAAGAUGUCUGGAAUAUCCUUGUAUGACCAGGCGAAGACCUCAGUGUUCUCUUGCAAAAAAGACAUCAAUGUCAACCGAAUGAGUGGUGACAAGGUGGUGCCAAUCUUCACCAUGCGAUCUGGAUAAUCUUUUAAGAUAGAAACCUUCUCCAACUUUUCAGCGGGUUAUGCUUGUUGGGUGAAAGAGUCGUCUCGAGGAUCGUCAGGUUGAGUGUUGCCACCAUGAAGAUCCAAGUUGGCUUCGUCCGGGCUGGUCUUUAUGACUUGGUCAUGUAUAGAAAGGGUUUCCUUGGGCACAGGCAGGUGUUGUUGCUUGACCGAAGUUUUGUAGCAUGAACGUGCACUAAGUUGAUCUUCUCUGAUGUAACCAUUGCCAUAGGGGGUUGGAAAUUUCAUCAACAACAUAUAUGUGGGUACCAUGGCCUUGAGAUCAUUGAUGUCUUUGCGUCCAAAGAUGACAUUGUAUGCCAUUGGGCAAUCAACCACCAGGAAGUUAGUGGUAAUGGUAGUUGUGUAAGGGCAUGUACCAAUGGUGAAAGGUAAGUGUAUGUUCCCUAAAGGUUGCACGAUAUUACCGGAAAAGCUUAUCAGAGGAGAAAUCGAGCGAUCGAGCAAGUGUUCAGCUACAUUAAGUGCCCUGAAAGCUUCAGCAAACAUGAUAUUGAUCGAAGCCCCCAUGUCUACUAGGAUUCGUCGUACUUCAAAGUUGGCUAUGUGAGCUUCCACAAUCAGUGAGUCAUUGUGAGGGUAGAUGAUACCACUUUCUUCCUCAGGGUAGAAACAUAUUGGAUCCCAGUUAGGCUUUUGACACUUGCCUCCCCUGAUGUCUUCUACGUGAAACACUUGGUGACCAGGCCUUAAAGCUCGUUCGCUGUUUUUCAUGGCUCUGUUGGAAGAUUCAGAUAUGGGUGUGCUGCCGCUUAUGGAAUAUAUCACAUUCACUUGGUGUUGGUUAUGGUUAUCCCUUAAAGGGUGAAGGAGGAAUUGAUCAAUUUUUUCUUCACGCGCCAAAGCUUCAAUAUGAUCACGAAAGGUGAUACAUUUCUCACCGUCAUGGCCGUUAUGUUCGUGGUAACAGCAAAACGUGCAUGUGUUCUUCGUGGGCUUGUAACCCGAAUGCCUCGGCAUUGGCUUCGAUAUCAGAUGUGCUAUGCUGGGGUAAAUGACCACGCAUGUGGUGUUCAAAGGUGUGUAUGUCUCAUACAUCGGGGUAGGGCCUGUCUUGACACGUGUUUGGCCUACUAUGUUGACUAUCUGGGGAUGGGCAUUAUCAUGGCGAUACCCUUGGUUAUCACGAUAGUGUCCCUUAUUCCUUUUACUAAAAUGAGACUGGUGAUGAUGGAAAUCUUUCAUUUUUCCCUAAGAUUGAUAUGUCUUUUGACUUGGCAAAGUAUUAAGUAAGGCAGGGGGAGGCACCGCUGCCGUUUAGAAGGUUGAAGUAUUCUCAUUUGGUUGAAUCUGGCUUCCACUCCUUACUUGCUGAUAAGGGGUGGCUGUGGGGGGUUUCCCUUGAUAUGUCCUUGCCUCGGUGGAGGCAUGGUUGUAAGCAUGUACCAUCACCUCAGAGUAAGUCUUCCAAUUGUUGGCAUUGAUUAUGUACUUGAAGAAACAAUCACGUAGGCCUUGAGGGUAGUCUUGUCAUCUGCCUGAGCGCAGCAAGAAUACUCAUGGCUGAAGCGACCGACAUACUCUCGUAGUGACUCAUCCUGCUUCUGGCGAAUAGUGUACAAGUCAUCUGCAGAAUGCAAGCGAUCGAUCUGGAAGAUGUGUUGAGAGAUAAACAGUUUCCUUAGUUCCUCAAAUAAGUCUACUGUCUCAGGUGGAAGACUGCAAUACCAGUUUAGAGCUCCGGCAGAGAGGGUAGAGGGGAAGAAAAGACAUCACUCUUCGUCGGUGUGCAUCUGAUAUGCCAUGGUGGACUCAAAGAGGUUAAGGUGUUCAAUUGGGUCAUCCCUUCCAGUAUAGAGUUGUAAACCAAGCUUUUGUUUUGUCUUCGCUUGAAGAGGGUGUCGAGAAUCCUCCUUGUGAGAGGGCCAGGCCUGGGUUGGUUCCAGUUAGGUAUCUCGGCCUGACGUUCGACCUUCAACUUGUUUACUUCCUCAAAGAGCUAUAGGAUAAGGAGGUCCUGAGUGGAGUCAUGUACCACUGGAAUUUUAUUUCGUAAGUCUCCAUCGCCUUUUGGAAGUAGGAAAGUUUGAGCAAAAGCGUGUGGUUUUUCUUUGGGCUCACCGUACUGACUUCUAGGGCGAGUCUAUCGGAAUACCUCAAAGUCCUUUGUACCUUCAUGUUCCUCUGGGACCUGUCAUUCAUUUCCUAUAUUGGCAGCUGGCCUGGGUCAUGGGAGGGGACCGAGUCUUUCAGAAACCCUUGGGUCAUUGAUCUUCGAGCAUAUGUGGAGGGGAUUCUCUCGAUGUUGCGUUAGGAAGUCUCAGCAGUCACGAUAAACGACUUUUGAUCCUUCCAACCCUUCUGCAAGGAGGUGUUUUCCUCCACUUCUCCUGCUUCGGGUCGAAGCAGCUGGGUUGAGAGAAUUCUCAUGUUAAUCAAUGUUUUGAUGAUUAGCUCGCUCUUCAUUAGGGAUACCCACGUCGAAAGAAGAUUACCCUUCGUGUUGGGGGGCACCCAGAUGAUGGUUGAUGUCCACAGGGGCAACGAGCUCAUGUGUUUGAGUAUGACUAGUUUCGUGGAGCGUCUCAAAGAGCUUCUCAUACUGCUGAAGGACCUCAUUUUUCAUUGCUAUCUUGUUGUUCUAAGCUUCUAGCUCAUCGACUUUAGCUUGAAGAGCAACCCUUUUUCCUUCAUUCUUUCGUUGCUUCGCACUAGGUGUAAGAUGGGUGUCAUUAUGUGUGAUGUGGCUUCCUUCGCUCCCCAUGUUGGAGAGGGAUGCCUGGUCAAAAGAGAGUGUACGAAUAGUGAAAACCAGCUUGGCAAAGCUGAAGAGAGUGGAAAUAAGUGUCGUUCCCACAGAUAGCAUCAAAUGUUGAUGUACAAAAUCAGUGAGGACUUUGGUACAACAGAAAGUGUUAAGUUUGUGACCUUCACUAGAUUGCUACGGUCACUAGUGUGGAUAAGUAUGUAAAUGGAUAAGGACAAGAAAGCAAACACAAGAUGUACGUGGUUCACCUAGAUUGGUUACGUCCACGGAAUAGAGGAGUUCUCAUUAAUUGUGAAGGGUUUACACAAAUACAUAGGUUCAAGCUCUCCUUUAGUGAGUACUAGUGAAUGAUUUAGUACAAAUGACAUUAGGAAAUAUUGUGAGAGAAUGAUCUCUAUUUAUAGAAGAGAGUUUCUAAUUUCAUUCUGACAUUGACACGUGUCGUGUUGUGAUUGGCUUCUGAUGUUGACACGUGUCGUGCUAUGAUUAGCUUCUGAUGUCGACACGUGUCGCGUUGUGAUUGGCCUUUUGGUUGGAGGGAAACUCUUCUGAGUCCUUGACGGUAUAACGUUAAUCGGUGCUUAGUAGUUUCGGAAUUGGUCAAGUAUGGUACAAACAAAACUAAAUACAUAAUAAUGAUACUAAUAUUCAAUUCUCUGGACGCAUGUGCUUCUUUUUGUGAUAUAGCACAUUCGAUAAAUAAUAAAGUUGUAGAUUUGCACAUUAGAUAAAACAUCCCUUCUUCCUUUUGCCGACAAGCCGAAUGAUUAUGAACUAACAAUCCUUUUAGCAAUAUUUUUGCCAAUUAUUUUUUGCUUUUUCAGUUUUCUAAUUUAGAUUAAAAAUUUAAGGAUCUGUUUGGUAUUUGAUUUGGGUCUUAUUUUUUAACUCAAAAACAAGUUUUGAGUCAUGAAUUUAAAGUUCUUGUUUGGUAUUUGAUUUGGAUCCAAUUCUCAAACCCACAACUCAAUUUUUUUUCAAAACAAAGCCUUUUCGUUGAACAAAAAGUGUGUUUUUAGACUUUUUGGAUCUUCUCUCACGUCUGUCUCUCUCCCAAUCUCCUACGUCUGUCUCUCUCCCAAUCUCCUAUCUUCCCUUUUGCUUCUUAGAUCCUCUCUCUGAUCUCUCGUCUCAAUUGGAUCCCCCAUACCAACCACCAGUGGUGCAGCCACGUCGAACGUUGGAACCUGCACGGAGAAUCUCCGCCAUUGAUUUCGACUACCAAGUCCUGGAAUCCAACCCAAAGCCAUCCUCUAUUUACAGGACCAAUAUCGUUUGUUGGGCGAGAAUGUUGCCAAGAUCAGAACCGAUUUCAUGAAGGAGCAUCUUACCAUUUUCCGAACCCACUUGGAAGCUUUCGCUCGAAAGCAGUAGGUCCCAUUUUUCUUCUCAGUCAAUCAAUUUCAGUACGAAAUAACCCAACUUUCAGAUCAAAAUUUCAUAUAUGCACGAAGGUGGAGUGAGAGAGAUGAUAACAAUGAGUUCAUCAAUGUUGGGCCUGGGUGUUCAAAUUUGUUUCUUUUUUGAAAGAGCAUGGUAGAAAUUUUGAUUAGUUUGAGACGCAAAAAUUGCAUACCAAACAAGAUUUUGGAUUUAAAAUUUUUAAAUCAAAACAUGAGUUUUUAGAAGAAAAAAAAUAAAAAUUUUGAGUUCAGUUUUCAAUUAAGAUACCAAACGGGUCCUAACAUUCUUGAGUGAGUUUCAAUCAUAAAACAUACUUAAUUUAGGUCUUCAAUUAAGUGAAAUAUUAACAUGUUUCUGUACUCCCAUUGUCGAAAAUGCAGUGUUGACGACCUGAAUUUGUAUGGCAUUGAAAGCCUUUAGUGUCGUAAUUUAGUCACAUGUUCAGCAGAUCAUUCUUCAGAUAACUUUGUUAAACUUUGUCAUCAGUAAAUUUAUUCUGAAUAGAGAAUCAUUUUGAUCUUAAGGAUGACAUUUAGAUAUCCCUUGCAGCAUUUUCCUUUAGUAGCUCAAAUAAUCUCAUAUCAUCAAGUGGAGUUGCAUGUUUGACGAGGCAUAUUUAUAGUUAUUAAGGACAUAAGUUUAGUUAUGCCUUUCCAGUAAAGACCGUACCGAGCUUUCAUGAUUCUUGAUUUUCUUUUUACAUCCUUUCAGAUUAGAUUGGUUUAGCCUUCCAAUGUAAAGAGGGCAAUGCCAUGCCCUAAUUGUCUAAAAAUCGAGAAAGCUCAGUGGCUUUAUUCUAAUGGAUGGAGUUCAUUUCCGGAAUUUAGCAUGGAUGAGCGGACACAUGAUGAGGAUCUCUAUGGUCUAAGUGAUUCUGAAAUGGUAAAUGGUUUAGAUCCUUUUUUUUAAUUUUGAACUUCUAAUGUUCUGUUACUUUUGUGGACAUUCAAUUUUUGCUGCAUUUGACCGGAUAUCAUUCAGCAUUUAGAUGCAGGGUCAUACAUACAUUUUUACAUGCCAUAUAUUUUUGUGGAAUACGCAUAUAUGAUAAUGCCUCCUUUCACACAGUAUGAACGAAAAUAGAUGAACGAAGAUUUAUUUAUAUUAAGUGUUAAUGUAUUUAUUGAAAUGUUUUUUUUUUCAAAUUUUUUUAGACUGAGGAGGCCGAACAGUGGCUAAAGUACCUCUAAUCUGUUCAAAUGGCUACAGCUCAUGUCUCUAAGCUUUGCUUCCACACAAUACAUUUAAUGUCACAGCCCGUUCCGGGAUUUUAUAUAUCGGGGACGUAAAAUGACGAAAUUACCCUUGACGGGUAUUAAGGUAUGUGUAUGUGUGACAUAUCUUUUGGACUAAAUACAUUUAUUCAUAAGUUUUUAUAAAACUAUUAAGUGGGAUUAAAAUGUUGGUUUGUAAUUUAUGUGGUUAGGGAGUUAGGAAAAAGAAAUGGAUGGUGAGGGGUUGUGAUGGACCACACACACACUUCCUUCCAUCUCUCAUUCCCCCGUGUCUCUCUCUCUCCUCCCUCACGGCUUCCUCUCUCUCUCCCUCUCGAAUUGUACAGACAAGCUAGGAACCUCCUAUUUCUUCACGGAUCGAAGGUUCUAAGGUAAGAUUUGAACUCCUAGUAAGCUUGUGAGUUCGUAUAUGUGAUUUGUGGAAGUUAAAACCCUCAGAAUCGUCGUGAAACCCUAACCCCGAAAAUGUGCAUUGUUCAUGCACAUGUAAAAUCUUGCAUUUCAGGGAAUUUCAAGCUCAUAGUGAGCUUAAGGAGAUCCUCACGAGCUUCGGGGUACUUCGUUGGUAGAAUUUGGACGUCGGAGGACUUAGAACAGAGUUUUUCAAAUUUGGCCGGAUUAUCGAGCUUUCUCAGGUAAAAUCUAGUGGAUUUUAGACCUUGAAACUAGCCUAUCAUGAUUCUACAUGUUGAGGGCUUCAAAUUGAUAUGAAAUACGAAGAAAACGGUUGAGAAAUGAGGGAGAACAAGGGGAUUGAAAAAUCCCUAGUUUUCGGCCACCGGAAAACACAGUCCUGCGAACCAAGGAAGAAGACGCGCUUGGGGGGCGCGUGUACCCGUGCCUGCCCUGGCGCGUGGGGGUGCGUGCCACGUCAAAAAAAAAAUCUAAAAAUUUCACGACGUCCGUGACGUCGAGUAGGUCGAUGUGGUAUAUUCAUAUACCCAAAUUGAGCACCGUAUGAGAAGUUAUUUCGAAUUGUUGGUUAUGUGCAUUAAUUAACGUUUUUAUAGUUGUUUCGCAUAUAGGUGACACCUAUCCCGAGGACGAGCGCAUCCAGAGACGUCACGGGGGCUACGACCCAUCGACUUAACAGUGAGUAGGCAGUUUUGUUUUCGUAUAUACCUAUAUACUAUUAAUUUUCCCAGAAAUUGAAUUUAUAUGAAAGUAUGUUUUCAAUUGCCAUGCAUGCAUAUUAUGAAUUGAUAUUAAUGCAUAUAUAUGUGUGAAAUGGUGUUUUGGACGCACAGAUGAGUAUCAGGUGAGUUUUAUGUUAAUCAUGGGAAUCAUUGAUAAUGUGAAUUGUGUUGAGAACUCAUAAUCUGCACCCUUGGAGUUAGUGCUUAUAUUAUUCACCGCACCGCACGCUCACCUUGGAUCCAAGUAGGUGCAUGUCGUACAGACCCCGAGAGGGUUCCGACAUGCUAGUCGUACAGACCACUAGAGGUGAUUCCGACUAGUAGGUGACCUUAGAUUACGCACGCAGAUGAUUGAUGAGAGAAGCACUAGAGCGUAUUAUUUCACCAUCAUAGUCGUACAGACUACUAUAGGUAGUUCCGACUUAUGUGCAGUGUAGUGCCGUACAGGUCACAGUUGGUGACUCCGGCAGGGCCGUACAGGUCACAAUGGGUGACUCCAGCUGGAUGGGAUAUUGAGCUAUAGAAUCAGCCGUACAGGACCAUUGUAGGGUCUCCGGUUGAUUUAUUAUUUCACCUGAUUUAUAUUGAUGCAUUCAUAUUAUAUUUUGGCAUGGCGUGGCAUCUUCUUUCUGAAAAGCGGUGAAGGAUUGUGAGUUGAGCUUUUGAUGAUAUAUAUAUGUUUAUAUACUAUUUUUCUGGGAAAGUAUACAGGUUUUACAGUGAGAGGUUAGAAAUGUUUUAAAUGAAAUGUUUUGGAAAGCUUUGGUUUUACUGACCCACUCAAUUUUGUUUUUGCGCCCCUCCAGGUUCUAGCUAGCAGUUGGUGGCUCACGAGGUUCUCUUCGGCAUUCUGACAGACACCCUGCAUGUAGGACUCACCUACGGGUGUUGUAAUUUAAUUAUAGUCCUACUUGACUGCACCUAAUACCUACGCUCUGAAUUGUGUGUUUUACUAUAUAACUCACUCUAGCACGCUAGUUGGUUUUACUGUUAGUAGUUGGUUUUUAUUGCUUCGUAUUUAUUAUAUCCUUUGCUUUCGUAUCGCACUUUUGGUUACGUCACACUCACGUGACGGCCAGCAUGCCCUGAUUUCUGGGUCGGGAUGUGUCAGUUUGGUAUCAAAGCCUAGGUUGCAGUCCUGUAUAAUUGUUAAUGCUCUCAUGAUCUUUUGAUGUUUUCUGUUAGAAUUAUGCCGCCUCGUAAGGAGUCACGCCGUGCUUCUAAACCUAAUUUCCCUGAUAUAACUCAGUUGGGGGAAGCGAUAGCCUAGGCCUUUCAGAAUGCAAUCCGCCCUCCUCCUCCUCCUCAGAGGACACCCCUGGAGACUAUGUAUAAUCUGAAAUUGGAUCGUUUCAUGGGUAAUGAAGGUCAUGAAGGGGCAGAAAAAUGGCUAGACCAUAUUGAGAUGACUUUUCAGGUGAUGCAAAGUCAAGGAAAUUUUCCUGCUAAUAGAUGGGUUGAGACCACUACUUGGUUUUUGGGACGAGAACCUGCAAGUUGGUGGAAAAAUCAAACUCAGUUUAUGCCCCCUGAGAUGGCAGUUGAUUGGGAAGUAUUCAAGGAACAUUUUAAGAAAAGAUUUGUCCCUCUAGAGUACAUUGAUCGCAAGAAGCAGGAGUUCACUCGAUUGAAGCAAAAGAAUAUGUCAGCACAUGAGUAUUACAGGAAGUUUAUAGACUUGUCUCGUUAUGAUCCUGAUACAGCUGGUAAUCAGGUAGAGAUGCUUCGCCGUUUUAAGCUGGGAACUAAGAGGAAAUGGCGGACUUUUGCUAGUGCACUUCCUUGCAAUGAUUAUCACGAGUUUUUCAAGAUCUUGGUUCGGAUGGAGGAUUCUGACAACCUUCCUAGUGACAGUGAGGAUGAUAAGGACAAGAAUGAUGGUUAGAAGAAAGAUGAUAAGGGCAAGGGUAUCUCCUCUCAGAAACCCCGUAAGACACAGAAUUUUAAGAAAAGUGGAGCGAGUUCGAGUUCUUCCAGUGGAGGAUUCAGUGUCACAGGCCCGAGAAGAGGUGGAAGAUUUGCUGGCGGGCCCAGAUUUCAGAGACAGAGAGAUUUUAGUGGUGCUGGUGGUUCUGGUGCCGCCGUUGUAACUUCAGACAUCAUGGAGAGUGUAGGAGGAAUAGUGGGGCGUGCUACACUUGUGGACAAAUGGGACAUAGAGCGGCACAGUGUCCCCAGAGUCAGCAGAGGCCUCAGUAGCCUGUUAUGCCACCUCUAGCACCGACUCAGCAGAGCUUUGGUUCAGGCAGUUAUAGUCAGACGGGUCGUGGUGGUGCUUACCACUACCAAGGUGAUGCUACUCCUUAUGCUCUAGGACAAUAUCAGUAUUCCCUGGAUCCUUAUUCUCAGAGUGGAUAUUCCCAAGACCCUGGGGGUUAUCCUUCGUAUUCUUCUAUGCCAGCUAGUGGAUCUCAGUGGCACCAGGGAGAUCAGCCCCGACAAGGAGAGGUUGCUGCCAAUGGUGCAGCAUCAUCUAGGCAGUCUAAUCAGUCAUGGUAGGGACGUACUUCUCAGGGGUGAGGUAACCAAGGCAACAGAGGUCGUGGUGAACGACAACAAACUCAGGAACGUGUUAAUCACAUAUCACUGCAAAAUGCUCAAAACCAUCCAGAUUUGAUUAUGGGUACGUUAAAUAUUCUUGGUCAUUUUGCUAGAGUUUUGAUUGAUUGUGGUGCGACACAUUCUGUGAUUUCUCAUACGUUUGCUCAAAUGACUCAACCUCACCAUUCGCCUCUAGGAUUUGAUUUAGAGUUUGCCAUGCUUAGAGGGGAUAAAUGUUAUGUUGAUAGUGUCUAUCUUGGAUGUCCAGUGAUGGUAGAGGGUGUAGUUAUGCCAGCUAAUCUUAUCCCGUUAGAUAUUGUGGAUUUUGUGUGAUUCUAGGGGCAGAUUGGUUACAUUAUAAUCGUGCCCAUAUUGAUUGUUACGGGAAAUCUGUUACCUUUUAUCAUCCUGGAUUACCAGAGGUUACUUUUGUGGGUGAAAGAAGUGGGGUGAGACAUGAUGUUAUUUCUGCCAUGAGAGCAAAGAAGUUAUUAUCGAAGGGUUGUCAAGGAUACUUAGCCCAUGUGGUAUUAAAUGAUGUUGUUCCUAGCAUUGUAGAGGAAGUUGGAGUAGUCAGGCACUAUCCUAAUGUAUUUCCAGAUGAUUUACCGGGAUUACCGCCAGACAGAGAUGUGGAAUUUUCUAUUGAUUUGCUUCCAGGUACAGAUCCUGUAUCUUUAACUCCUUACAGAAUGGCUCCAGCUGAACUGAGAGAGUUGAAAAUUCAGUUACAAGAAUUACUUGAUAAAGGUUUCAUUCAACCUAGUACGUCACCUUGGGGAGCUCCAGUAUUAUUUGUAAGAAAGAGAGAUGGGACUCUGAGAUUAUGCAUCGAUUAUAGGUAAUUGAAUCGGGUGACAAUUAAAAAUCUUUAUCCAUUGCCUCGCAUCGAUGAUUUGUUUGAUCAGCUGAAAGGUGCGUGUGUGUUCUCAAAGAUUGAUUUGAGAUCUGGUUAUUAUCAGUUGAAGAUUAAAGAUGAAGAUGUACCUAAGAUGGCUUUCAGGACCUGUUACGGACAUUAUGAAUUUCUGGUUAUGCCAUUUGGAUUGACUAAUGCACCUGCAGCUUUCAUGAGGUUAAUGAAUGAAGUAUUCCAGCAAUAUCUUGAUAAAUUUGUUAUUGUUUUUAUCGAUGAUAUUCUGGUAUACUCUAAGUCUAAAGCAGACCAUAUUCGACAUCUUAACUUGGUAUUAAAGAAAUUGAGGGAGCACCAGUUGUAUGCCAAGUUCAGUAAAUGUCAGUUUUGGUUAAAUGAAGUGGCAUUUUUGGGGCAUGUAGUGUCGGCACAAGGAAUUCAAGUAGAUCCUCAAAAGAUAGCAGCAGUGGAAAAUUGGGAACAACCGCGAACCGUCACUGAGGUACGGAGUUUUCUUGGUCUAGCAGGUUAUUAUCGACGGUUUGUUCAAGAUUUUUCUAUGAUUGCUUUGCCAUUAACGAAGUUAACCAGAAAGGAUGUUAAGUUUGAGUGGGAUGAGAAUUGUGAGCAAAGUUUCCAGCAAUUGAAAUAUUGUCUCACUCAUGCUCCAGUAUUGGUACUUUCUGAUGAUAGUGGUAACUUUGAAAUUUACAGUGAUGCCUCUUUGAAUGGUUUGGGAUGUGUUUUGAUGCAGCAUAAUAGAGUGAUCGCCUAUGCCUCUCGACAGUUGAAGAUUCAUGAAAGGAAUUAUCCUACUCACGAUCUUGAAUUGGCAGCCAUUGUUUUUGCUUUGAAGAUUUGGAGGCAUUAUCUCUAUGGUGAGAAGCGUAAGAUCUUCACAGAUCAUAAGAGUCUUCAGUAUUUAUUUACUCAGCAUGAUCUUAAUCUUCGUCAACGAAUGUGGAUGGAAUUGCUAAGUGAUUAUGACUGCACUAUUGAGUAUCAUCCGGGUCACGCGAAUGUAGUAGCUGAUACACUGAGUAGGAAACCUCAAGGUCGCCUCUAUGCUUUGUAUGCUUGCCGUGUUCCUCUUCUUGCAGAACUGAGGGCUACUGGAGUAAAGUUGGAGUUAGAAGAUCAAAGAGAAACUUUUCUUGCCAGUUUCCAAGUCAAGCCAGUUUUGGUUGAUCGUGUACUUGAAGCUCAAAUGGUUGAUGAAGAAAUUCAAGAAAUGAUUCAAUUAAGAAAUGAAGGGAAAAAGAAAGACCUCAGAAUUCGAGAAUCAGAUGGCAUGCUUAUGCAGGAGAACAUAUAAUGUGUCGAUUAAUGAAAGGGCAUUAAAGAAAGAAAUUUGUACCAUGAAUUCGACCAUUUUCAACUUAUGCGAUGUAGAAAGGAAAUGCAAUAUGAUUGUACCAUACCAUUAAGAUUUUAUUAUUUGGGGGAAAGAAAAUUGCUGAAUAUGUAAGUAGUGGUAUUGUUUGUCAGCAAGUUAAAAGCUGAAAGAAAGAAGUUUUUGGGCGAAUGCAACCACUUCCUGUUCCUCAGUGGAAAUGGGAAAAUAUAACUAUGGAUUUCGUGUAUAAGCUCCCUCAUACACGAAAUGGAUAUUGAUGAUGGUGUCAAUUGUGGAUCGCUUACCAAGUCAGUUCAUUCCAGUGAGGGUAAAAGUAUCCCUAAAUAAAUUGGCUCAGUUGAAGUUCAUCACGAAGAUUGUGAAGUAUUAUGAAGUGAAUAUUAUUUCUGAUCGAGAUCCAAGAUUUACUUCUAAGUUAGCUUUUCAGGAAGCUUUAGUACGAAACUGCUUUACAGCUGCUUAUCAUUCUCAAACCGAUGGUUAAUCAGAAAUGACUAUUCGAGUUGGAUAUGUUCUUCAGUGUUACAGUUUGGUGAUUCUUGGCAUGACCGCCUAGACUUGAUGGAAUUUGCCUAUAAUAAUAGUUUUCAUUCGAGCAUUGGUAUGUCACCAUUUGAGGCACUUUAUGGUAGAGCUUGUCGUACACCAUUGUGUUGGUCAGAGGUUGGCGAAAGAGUGUUUCAAUCAAUGCUAGCAUAUAAGUCAGAGUCACCUAUAGUGACCUGUAUGACUCAUAGGCAACCUGUACGACAGUGUCAAAGUUGCCAAUAUAGCUCAUCUACCAAUUUCUACAUACAAGUUGGAACCACUUAAUGUGGUUUGUACGAUAGGCUAGGUGUAACUAAAUACGCUCAAGUGUUACAAUCACAUAAAGGCUGUGCGAAGUAUUGCAAGUCACCUACGAGUCGAAACCACCUAAUGUGGUCUGUACGACAGGUUGGCACCUACCUUGGAUCCAAAGUGAGCGUGUGGUGCGGGAGGUGACCGAUCGCGUGAACGCUAGGCCCUAUCCUCGAGCGAAGCACUAACAUUGAGGUGCAAGAUAAUGAGCAUUAAAUGCAUAAAAACAUAACCAUAUGCACUGAAAUCACUAUCAACAACAUGUACUCACCUGUAGCUUAUUUGGGCAACCGCAUCGUCAUUUGGCAUAACCACCUUAACGUCCCAACAUUUUUAAUUGGAACUAAACCCAGUGAUAGACCAGAAUAAAAUCAUGGUUAAUCUCUACGUUGUUAACCAUCAUAACUUCUUUCCUUAAAGAAAUCAAGUACCAUGUUAAAUUUGGAUUGUUUUAUGGCUGCAUCUAACUGUCUUGUUAAACUGCCUACGUACCCUCAAACGGGAUCAAGUCAUUCAUAGUUCAACUUAAUACUUCAAAGCAUUCACAGUAACUAUAUGCCGAUAAUAUGAAUAUAGAUAUACCAUAAUGCAAUCUAAAACUCAACCAUACCAUAAUAUUUUAACAUAUAUAUAUAUAUAUGUAUAUAACAUGGCAUAAUAUGCAUAGAACAAUUUAAAAACAUUUAUGAAAUUAUCAGUCAUAUCUAUAUACGAUAAAAGGAAAAGACCCACACACCUGAGGUCCGUGCUACGACUCCCUAGCACGAACAUCGAGAUGUCACGAACGAUCCUCACCUAGAAUAAUUAUUCAGUCAAGUCUCAGAACUCUUAUCGAUAGAACACAUAACCUACAUAAAACACAUCUCAAGGACAUUCUAGAAUGAUUUGAGACCCAUUGACCAAAAGUCAACCGUCGGUCAAAGAUCAAUGGUAGGGUCCUCAACCCUACAUAAUUAAAUCCGGAUGAUCUGCAUCUCAAAUUUCUGAUUCGUAACUUCUAAAGAUCGACAUUAUACUUCUAGGACAUCAUACUAAAGUUUCAUUACAAUCCAACGGUUGGAUCUCCGCCAAUUGCCAAUUCAAGUGGCGGUCAACAUUUUAUUUUACGAAUUUUCAAAUCUACUUCGGGAAGAUCCGUAUGUCAAAUUCCCAAUCCGUAAGUUUCUAAUAUCCUAAAUAUUACAUACUAUAAUGUACUAAAGUUUGGUGACGAUCCAACACUCGAAUCGUUAAUUCACAUAAUGAUCAAGUAGCGGUCUUUAUCGAAACUAUGUUCAAACGAUGAGAUUUCAACAAUCGGACUACACAUAUGGAAAAUGGGGUGUCAAACUUAGCUUAGGGAGGUCAGGGGGUGACUCGGCUCACACGCCACCGCACACGGCGGUCGGUUGCCCCGAUUCGUCGGAAAAUUCAACUAUCUCAAAAAAUUCUUAGAUUUUACAGAAAUGAAGAUCUCAAAAAGUAGAGCAAAUUGUAUACUUGUGGCCAAGUCCAAUUUGGCCAGGAAAAGCUCCAAUUUCACUCAAACCCACCGGAACCCUAAACUUUGGGUGUUCUUGAUUCGUCUUCAAAUCAACUCCGACGCUCCAACCACCGAUUGGGCAUUUUUCUAGGCAUCAAGGGAAGUCUAAUGAUAGUGAUAAUUGAAAGAAAACAUUUUAGAAUUGGUGGAUUAGAAUUAAGAUGUUUCUCCACCAGUCAAUUUUGGCUAGAAUAGAUGAAUGUGAUGAGGUUUGGUGAUGGUGAAUGGGUGAAAAUUGCCUGAAAAAUGGGUGAGAAUCGUUGAAAAUUGCUUCUAACCCAGUGGCACCGCCUGUCGGGUACGUGGGUAUACGGGUGAAAGGUAUGGAGGUCUGGGUUGGGUGCCACUCAUCUCUCUCCUUUCCCUCCUUGAUCUCUCCCUGAUUCGUCCCUCACUUCUCCAUCUGCUUCGAUUGGUCCUUCUCCUUACUUCCAGGUUGGGCAGCCAAUGCCCAUUCUUCUUUCUCCUUUGUUUCUCUUCCUCCCCGAUUCAUUUCUUUCCCCCACUUAGCCACACACAUGUGGCCGAAUAAUUUAAUAGUAUAAAAUAAUAUAAUAUAAUUAAAAUAGUUAUUUCUUCAAAAUACUUUCGGGUUCGUAGCUCCAUAAAACUUUAACCGUAACUCCAAAUUCAUUUUUGCUUGCUCUUACGCAUUCGUAUCGUCGAGUACUUCAGGAACACGCUAAAAACAAUUAGUACGUCUCACUAUACGUUGGUCAACGAAAGUCAAAACCUUCACCUCUAGGGCAUUUUCAUAAAUUCACACUUUUAAAAUUCAUAAAAUCAUAGAACUAGGGACAGGUUGUCACAUUACCAAUGAAUACUAUGCAGUGUUUCCUUCUUCCAAAAUCUUUUUGUGAGGAAUUGAAUAUGAUGAUAGCCAAGUUUUGGUGGAGCGGAGAACCUGGGAAACGCAAAAUUCAUUGGGUGAACUAGCGAACCUUAAGUAAAUCAAAAGAACCUUAUGUAUAAUUAACAUAACAUUGUUAUUCUUGCGAAAGAGGCGUGAAGAUUUAUCAUGCAGCCUCAUUCGUUAGCUUUCACUCUUUUCAAAGCACGGUAUUUUCCUUCCAUAGAUUUCUUGAAUGCAUCGGUGAAGACAAACGCAUCAUUUGUAUGUUGUAGUAUUGCAGCCACUCAUCCAGUGAUCUUGAAAGGUCUACGUUGGCAAGUGGGAGAUGGUUCGUGUAUAAAAAUUUGGGGCGAUAAUUUGUUGUCGAGAGAGAAUUAUUUCAAAGUUUUCACUCCCCCUUCGUUGCCGCAACUACUUGAGGCCACGGUGGAGAGUUUGUUUUUGGAUGGGACAUGAACUUGGAACAAAAACCUGCUUCAUCGAUUGUUUAGCUUAGAAGAAGUGGAAGUUAUUCAGAGCAUUUCUCUCAGUAUUCGACGUAUGUUUGAUAGACAAGUUUGGCAUUAUGAACGAAUUGGUAUUUUCUCAAUGAAGAGUGUUUAUUACUUGGCAAAAAAAGAGGUGGAUGCUAGAACGUCGAGUUUGAAUUCUCAAGAUUCGUUAAUCUGGAAGAGACUAUGGUAUGCUUGUGUUCAUGGUAAGGUAAAAAUAUGUGUUUGGAAGGGGUGCUUGGAUUCUUUACCUACUAGAACAAAAUUUGCUAGAAAACGUAUUGUCAAGGAAACAGAGUGUUUAUUUUGCUCUGGGCAUCCAGAAAAUCAUCGAGCAUGUGUUGAGAGAUUGCUCGAUGGCUCGGGCAAUAUGGUUCGCAAGUUUAGGCAUUAAAGGCCGAAAUAAUUCAUUAGUAUGUUUCAAAGAUUGGGUAACUAAACUUGUUCAUGAUUCAUCCAAGUUGACUUUUGACUUGGUGUUGACAACUAUUUGGAGUAUUUGGAGAGCUCGCAAUGAUAUUUUGUGGAAAGGUACAAUCUCUCAUCCGCGUGAUGUGGCUUUAAGAACCGAGGAAUAGAUGCUUGCUUUUAGGCACUAUCACUCCCCUAGCAAAAUGGUAUCGAUGCAAACCAUACAAAAGUGGUCUCCUAUUGACACAUGUUGCUUAAAGUGUAACUUUGACGACGCUUGGGAUGAUAGAUCGAGGAAAUGUGGCAUUUGAGUGAUUAUUCGCAACUGUAGUGCUGAAUUUUUGGCGGGCCUCACGGCUGUUGAGGAAGAUGUCGGUUUGGCGCUACAAGCAGAGCUCUUAGCAGCUCAGCGAGCCUUGCAAUUUGCUUAUGAAAUAGUUUCAUGCAGCUCAUGGAUCUCUUUUAAAAGGGAUUCCAGCUUGACCCUUGUAGCAAUGAAUAGGGAGGGCGAAGAUCACUCCAUUUUGGGUCCUAUCAUCAAUGAUAAUCGUAUUCUUCUGCGUAGUUUUGUUCAUACAACGACAAGCUUCAUUCGAUGUGAGGGGAACAAUGCUGCCCAUCGUUUGGCUUGGGCAGGUUUACGAGGAACAUGAGAGUUGAUCUGGGCUAAGAACCAUCCUGAUAUGCUUGCUAAUGUCCUAAUUGAUGAGAGUUCUCAUCGCAACCUUAGUUGAUGUUGAUGUAAUUUUAAUGGUUUCUAAGGAUAGCUAACUAUAAUUAAGUUGUUUGGUGUGGGACAAUAUUUUUCCUUUGACCGGGUUGAAAUUCCCAACAAGGUUUUUUAUCGAUGCCCUUUUAUGCACACUAUCCUUUGCAUUGUACGUUUUCUCAUCUUUAAUGAAUAUUGUACUUCUUAAAAAAAAAGCAUAAAUUUAAAGUCAAAUUAAGCUUAGGAAUUUUUCAAUAAUUUCAAAUAAUGGCAUAUUAUUUGAACUCCAUUAAAUAUGGUAUUUAUUGUGAUACAGUAGUUUAUCAAUGUGUGACAAGGACAUAAUAACAGUAAUAAUUUUAUGAGGUAUGUAAACAUGGAUCAUGUUUGUAAUUAUGCAUUGAAUUUGUUAAAAUACAUUAAUAUUUACAUUAUUAGGACAAAAUGAUCUAAAAAGUUAAGGAAAAAUUAUAAGAAACACGCAUAGCUGAAUGGUUUACAACUACCAACUUAAGAUUAGUGAACCUUCUAAGAAGUCUUAUUAAUUCGAUAUUUAGAGAAGUAAUUUGAAGAAUUAAGCGUAAUUUGCAAAAAUAUCUUCCUUAAAACAUGUUUUUUUCUUCAAGUCAUUAAGAGUAUGUUUGGUACUCUAUUUGAAUCCAAUUUUUUAAACUCAAAAACAAUUUUCAAGUUUUAGGCCUUAAAAACUUGUUUAGUAGGACUAUUUUAAAAAACUGAACUCAAGACUAACUCAAAAAUAUAGUCUAUUAUCUAAAAACAUAAAAAGUGAGUUUUUAGAGUUUUUAAACUUAAACUCACUCAUUUCUUUUCUUUCCCUCCUCCACUCUCACUCCAAAUCUAUCUCUCUUUUCUUCUUUCUCUCCUAUCUUUUUUUUACCUUUUUGUCUCUCCUUCAAUCCGCUCUCUUCAUUCUCUUGGUUAUUUCUCUCUCCUCUUCCUCUCUAUCUCGUCCGAUCCUCUCUCUUAUUUCUCUUUCCUUCAAUCAUCUCUUACUUUAUUUCCUCAUCUCUCUUCUUUUUCUCUCUCUCAUGUGACCCCCUCUUUUUAGAUCUAUUUGUUUAGUUUAAGUUGUAAGAUUUAAAAAAUUAAAUUGCAAACCAAUCAAGUUUUUGAAUCUUAAAAGAAAAUUGUUUUCAAGAAAUCUUCUUAAGAAAUGUUUUGAGAAAUGAUAAAAUUUUUCAAAUAGGAUACCAAACAGACCCUAAACUUUCUCCUAAUUUUAUGGCUGAAAUUUUGAACUCUUCUAGAGGACAUAAAUUUUUGAGUGUGCUUGAAUUAGAGAGUGGUACAUCACGUUUCACUAUAUAAAUGGUGAAAUAGUGUUAAAAAUUUAACAACUUAAAACUUAAAACUUUUCUACACUUAUAUAACGUAGUACAUAUUUGUGUUCCGUGCACAAAAGAAAAUUUCUUUCAAAGAGGGACUUUAGCUGCCAAUAGUAACGCACAUCAUUUAUUUCAUCUUUGACAAAAAAAAAAUCAAUUAUUGUUAUAAAUAGGCAAAAUUUAUAGAGAGAUAACCUUUACUCGGUGAAGGAACGAAUCAGUUGCAGAGUAAUAUACCGACACAAGCUGUUGCAGAGGAAGUAAUGUAUAUUAUUGCUAUUAGAUAUAUUUCUCUUUUCUUUCUUCUUCUCAUUCACUACCCUUUGCACAAUUGAAGUGCUCUAUUUAUAGAGCUACUUCAAUGGAAAAUUACAAAACAUUACUAUUUAGCUUAUGAGUAUAUAGUAUACACAUGUGAUACUUUACUAUACACAUUACUAUACACAUGUGGGCAAACAUACCCAUUAUUUACAACACUCCCCCUUAGAUGCCCACAUAUCAACAUCAGUUGCCUCAUUAAAACCUUGCUUGGAAAAACCCUGUGGGAAAAAACCAUAGCGAAGGAAAAAGAGUACAACUAUACCCGGAUGGUGUUGAGCAUGCUUAGGUUGCCUCGUUAAAACCUUGAUAGGAAAAACCCAGUGGGAAAAAUCCUAAGCGAAGGAAAAAGAGUACAACAUGCAUGUAUCAUGGAUGCUCCCCUGAAUUGUAUCUCCCCCUGAUUCCGCAUUCUUCAAAUAUGUAAGCCGACGUAAUCCGAUUCCCUGUACCAACUUCUGAAAUGUGCACUUUGGUAGAGAUUUGGUGAACAAGUCUGCUAAAUUUUCAUUAGAACGGAUUUGUCUGACUUCAAUAACUUUAGCCUUCUGAAGCUCAUGUGCGCUGAAAAAUCUUGGAGAUAUGUGUUUAGUCUUAUCACCUUUGAUAAAUCCUUCCUUCUUCUGGGUGACACAGGCUGCAUUAUCUUCAUGGAUGACAGUUGGAGCGUCUGUCUUUGAAGGUAGACCACAUGAAUUCCGGAUGUGAUGGAUCAUUAAUCUUAACCAAGAACAUUCACGACUUGCUUCAUGUAAAGCAAUUAUUUCCGAAUGAUUGGAAGAUGUUGCAACUAGCGUUUGCUUUGUUGAUCGCCAUGAAAUUGCAGUAUCUCCAUUAGUGAACACAUAUCCAUUUUGUGAGCGGGCUUUAUGCGGAUCGGAGAGAAAACCAGCAUCUGCGUAUCCAACAAGGAUUUGUUCAUUUGUGGGCUUGUCUGAGUAUAAGAGACCUAUAUCUGUUGUCCCACGAAGGUAUCGUAGAACAUCUUUGACUCCCUUCCAAUGACGAAUUGUUGGAGCAGAGCUAUACCUGGCUAACAAGUUAACUGAAAAAACUAUAUCUGGUCUAGUACAUUGUGCUAAAUACAAUAAAGCACCUAUUGCGCUCAAAUAUGGUACUUCUGGACCAAGGACCAGUUCAUCAUCUUCUUUUGGACGAAAUGGAUCUUUCUUAAUGUCCAAAGAACGAAUGACCAUUGGGGUGCUAAGUGGAUAAGCCUUGUCCAUGCCAAAUCGCUUCAGUAUUUUUUCAAUGUAAGCUGAUUGAUGGACCAAAUUCCACUAACACAAUGCUCAAUCUGCAGGCCUAGACAAUAUUUGGUUUUCCCAAGGUCUUUCAUUUCAAAUUCGCUUUUCAGAUAUUCAGCAGUUUUGUUGAGCUCUUCAGGGGUUCCAACUAGGUUCAUAUCAUCAACAUAUACUGCCACUAUAGCAAAUCCAGUAUUUGAUUUCUUAAUGAACACACAAGGGCAGAUGACAUUGUUGGCAUAUCCUUCUUUAAUCAAAUACUCACUGAGACGAUUAUACCACAUUCGCCCAGAUUGUUUUAGCCCAUAUAGUGAUCGCCUUAAUUUGAUUGAGAACAUACCCCGUGGUUUGUUAGUUGCUUCAGGCAACUUAAGUCCUUCUGGGACUUUCAUAUAUAUGUCAGUAUCUAAUUCUCCAUAUAGAUACGCGGUGAUGACAUCCAUAAGUCGCAUGUCAAGUUUUUCUGAAAUCACCAAACUUAUUAAGUAACGGAACAUAAUUGUGUCCAUUACAGGAGAGUAUGUCUCUUCAUAAUCAACUCCAGGUCUUUGUGAAAAACCUUGUGCAACGAGUCGUGCUUUAUAUCUUGCAAUCUCGUUUUUCUCAUUGCGUUUCCUUGUGAACACCCAUUUGUAACCUACGGGGUUUACAUCAGUUGGGGUUUGGACUACUGGUCCAAAAACACUUCGCCUUUCCAAGGAAUUUAAUUCUGCCUGGAUUGCAUCUUUCCACUUAGGCCAAUCUUGUCUCUGUUUGCAUUCAUCAACAGAGCGGGGCUCAAUAUCAUCACUUAAUAUAAUUUCAGUGGCUAUUGCAAAUGCAAACAUGUCAUCGAUGAUUAUUUCAUUUCGAUCCCACAAUUCAUUAGUACAUGCAUAAUUUAUGGAUAUUUCUUUGCUUUCAUGUACUUCUGUCUCUUCAGGGACAUGUGUCUCAUCAAGGACAUUUUCUUUUUCUGGAAGUACAGAGUCACGAAUUGUGGAUUUAUCAUUCAAUUCCUUUUCUUGAAUGAUAUCAUUUGGGUUCAAUUGGGCCCUCAUCUUUCUCUUUCGAGGGGCUGAAUCUUUUGAACCUAGGGGUCUACCACGCUUCAGGCGUGCAUUGGAUGAAUCAUUCGCUGCCACUUUAUUUUGUCCAACAGGGACAUCAAUUCUUGCAGGUGCGUUUGCAGCCGGUAUAUAUGACUGUGUCACUUUCGAAGCAUCAUUAAAUGCAUCUGGCAUUUGAUUAGCAAUACCUUGAAGAUGAACGAUCAUUUUUACUUCAUUUUCACAUUGAGUGCUUCUUGGAUCAAAAUGAGAUAAGGUGGGAACAACUCAUGUUAGCUCUUGUCGUUCUUCUGGAACGGUCUUUUCUCCCCCUAACGACGGGAAAACUAUCUCAUCAAAAUGACAAUCAGCAAAACGAGCUGUAAACACAUCACCAGUCAAAGGUUCCAAAUAUCUAAUGAUAGAUGGUGAAUCAAAACCCACAUAAAUUCCCAAUCUGCGCUGAGGUCCCAUUUUAGUUCGUUGUGGUGGUGCAAUAGGCACAUAAACAGCACAACCAAAAACUCGUAAAUGUGAAAUAUUUGGCUGAUGUCCAAACACGAGUUGUAUUGAUGAGUAUUGGUGGUUGGUUAUGGGUCUCAAUCUAACCAAUGAUGCAACAUGUAAUAUGGCAUGUCCCCAUGUAGAAACUGGCAAUUUUGUUUUCAUGAGCAGAGUGCGGGCUAUUAAUUGAAGCCGCUUGAUAAAUGCCUCUGCUAAACCAUUUUAAGUAUGGACAUGAGGAACAGGGUGUUCAACAUUAAUGCCCAGUGCCAUACAGUAAUCAUCAAAGGUUUGAGACGUAAAUUCACCAGCGUUAUCAAGUCGAAUGGACUUAAUGGGAUGAUCUGGGAACUGUGCUCGCAACUUAAUUAUCUGAGCAAGAAGUCUCGCAAAAGCUACAUUUCGAGUAGACAAUAGGCAAACAUGUGACCAUCGGGUAGAUGCAUCAACCAAAACCAUAAAAUAUCGAAAUGGUCCACAAGGUGGUUGAAUAGGUCCACAAAUAUCCCCUUGAAUUCUUUGCAAAAAUGAUGGGGAUUCAUCAUCAACCUUUAGUUGUUGUGAUGGUCUAAUUACCAACUUCCCUUGGGAACAAGCCUUGCAAGGAUUAUCAUUCGAGACAUUAAUGUGUAUGCUCAGUAAUGGAUGUCCAUUAGAGUUGGUAAUGAUUCUACGCAUCAUGGUAGAUCCUGGAUGACCUAGACGGUCAUGCCAAAAGCAUAUAAACUUUUGAAUCAAUGAACUUCUGGUUCAUGACAGUAUAAUGCCUCAACUGUCUUUAUGUAUGUACAAUACAAUCCACUCGAUAAAACCAUGCAACUUCUCCAAUAUACGCUUCUGGGUAUCGUUGGAGUAAUGCAUAAAUAUUCCACAUUUUCUACACUUUUCGUUUCAAGGUGGUAUCCAUUUAGACGUAUGUCUUUAAAACUCAACAAAUUUCGAAUGGACCGAGUAGCAUAUAAUGCAUUCUUUAUAGACAAUAUUGUUCCAUUUGGUAACAUAAUCUGGGCUUUUCCUGAGCCUUCAAUUACAUCUGAUGGUCCUGAUAUUGUUGUUACCUUUACUUUUGCAAGUACCAAAUUCGAGAAAUACUUUCGGUCUCGAAGUAUUGAAUGCGUGGUUGCGCUAUCCGCAAGACAAAAGUCUCCGCCAUUGAUCUUGUUUUGAGAACAACCAUAAUUUUUAUCCAUGAUCUCUGAGUAAAGAAAAAGCAGUUUAUUCGUACUGGAAUACUACUUUUAUUGAAUUGAAAAUGCGAGCAUUAAACCACAGGUACAAAUAACAUGAGUACAUUAAACAUAAAUAAUUCAAUCGGACCCAUAAACUUCAUUCCCUCUUUCAUUAAUAAAGUCUGUAGCAUCCAGGUGGGUUGUGUUUAACUGUCCUGAUAAAUUGGUCACUGGAUCAGGGGUUUCCAUUGGUUUAGCCUGGUCAAGGAAAUUGAUCUCGACACCCUUUUCCUUGAAGGAGGCUUGAUAUAGUUCUACUAGAUACUUUGGGGUGCGACAAGUACGCGCCCAAUGUCCGUUGCCACCACACCUAUGGCAACCUCCUUCAUGACUUCUAGGAGUGUUCACAUGAGCUUUUCCUUUCUGGCGAUUGGUAUUUUUAAAGCUCGGGCCUGGAUUAUACCUUGGAACCUGGUUGUGAAACUGGACACCAUGGUUCUUGCUUUUCCCUUUCCACCGACCUUGCUUGUGGCCACGUCCUCGUUUGUAAUUAUUGCCACGGGAGGAUAUGGUAUUUCUUUCAAUGGAAGCAACAUUCACUUCUGGGAACGGUGCUGAUCCAGUAGGUCGGGAAUUACGGUUUUUCAUGAGAAGCUCAUUGUUCUGUUCAGCUACCAGGAGCACAGAUAUAAGCUGGUUGUAUUCAGUGAAGCCUCGCGCUCUAUACUGUUGUUGCAGUACCAUGUUAGAGGCGUGGAAUGUGCUGAAAGUCUUUUCCAAUAACAUCUCCUCAGUGAUAGUAUCCCCACAGAGUUUCAUCUGAGAGGUAAUUCUGAACAACGCCGAAUUGUACUCAGCCACUGAUUUGAAAUCUUGGAUCCUCAGGUGUGUCCAGUCAUAGCGAGCUUUUGGAAGAAUCACCGUUGUCUGGUGAUUGUAUCUGCUUCUCAAGGCAUUCCAAAGGGCUAACGGAUCUUCAACCGUUAAGUACUCGCUCUUUAGUGCCUCAUCAAGAUGGCGACGAAUAAAAAUCAUGGUCUUUGCCCGAUCUUGAGAGGAUGAGCUGCUUUCUUCCUUGAUGGUAUCUCCAAGAUUUGCUGCUUCCAGAUGGAUCUUGGUAUCCAGUACCCAUGUAAGGUAAUUCUUUCCAGUAAUGUCCAGGGCAGCAAAAUCAAGCUUUGCCAAGUUUGCCAUUUUCUUUUCUGAAAGAAAAAUGAGGUGUGUAAGAACUUGCAAUAAUAUGUGUACUGGAGAAAUAUAUUGUUAGAACUUCUGGUUUUUACAAAUUUUUGAUCUUCAGGCCAAAAUGAUAAGUACUCGAAACUUCAGGCUCGAGAUUUACACAAUUAAUGAGAAGGGCAAUUGUACCGCUCCAUUCUCAUCGAAAUAAGUAUAGGAUGGGUGAUUAUUUCGCACUACUUUAAACAGCAAGAAAAUUUAAAUAUGUAGAGCAAGGUGGACGAUUAUACCGCACCACCUAAAAUUGCGAUAAAAUUUAAAUAUGCAAAGCAGGGUGGACGAUUAUACCGCACCACCUAAAAUUGCGAUAAAAUUUAAAUAUGCAAACCAGGGUGGACGAUUAUACCGCACCACCUAAAAUUGCGAUAAAAUUAAAUAUGUAAAGCAGGGUGGGUGAUUAUUUCACACCACCUACAAUUGCGAUAAAAUUAAAUAACGGGAAAAUUUAAAUAUGCAGGAUAGAGCGGGCGAUUAUACCGCUCCACUUAAAAUUUGCAGUAAAAUUAGAUCUGCAAUCCAAGAUAGGCGAUAGAACCGCACAAUCUUGGAUUGCAUAAAUAAUCAGUGGGUUAGUAGUCAAUAUCUACACCAAACAAGAAAUCAAAGAUAUAAGUGACUCUUAGUUGGAGAACUAGAAGUAAACAUGGUGCAAACAGUUCUUCGCGAGGGUAUACCCAGCAAUUGAGGGAGAGGAAGAAGAAGAACAGUAAAAACCUUAAAGGAAACAUUUUUUUUUUUCUUUCGGUGAAAGGAAAUGAGAAAUGAUUAGAGAGUCGUGCUGAUAACGUGUUAUAAAUAGGCAAAAUUUAUAGAGAGAUAACCUUUACUCGGUGAAGGAACGAAUCAGUUGCAGAGUAAUAUACCGACACAAGCUGUUGCAGAGGAAGUAAUGUAUAUUAUUGCUAUUAGAUAUAUUUCUCUUUUCUUUCUUCUUCUCAUUCACUACCCUUUGCACAAUUGAAGUGCUCUAUUUAUAGAGCUAUUUCAAUGGAAAAUUACAAAACAUUACUAUUUAGCUUAUGAGUAUAUAGUAUACACAUGUGAUACUUUACUAUACACAUUACUAUACACAUGUGGACAAACAUACCCAUUAUUUACAACAAUUAUUUCAUUUUUCAGAAUAUUUGCAAAAAGGGACAGUUAUUAAUUAUCGUAACAAAAAGACAAGAUCAAAACGCACCUGAGCUUGUCGUAUGACACACUUUGUAAAUUCAGAAAAAUAAAUAAAUAAAAUAAAAAAAGGAGCACCUGAUAGCAGUACCACGGUACCAUCGCCGGCAUUGCACAAACUUCCCACUGGGUACACGCAUAUAUAUAAACGUUCACACGCCUGCUGCUUCUGGCUUCCAAAUAAGAUAUUCCCCAUUUGGUCCUUUCAAACCGCUCGCCUCUCUCUCUCUCUCUCUCUCUCUCUCUCUCUCUCUCUUUCUCUAUCCUCCCCCUCUCUCUCGCUCCGAGGGUUUGAGCUUGCAAAUCCUAAUUUGACCAACUUCUAUGGCAGUGCUCGGGCGCCGAUCACACUCCGUUUGCGCAUUCUUCAGGUCGUGAUCUCCGGCUGAUCGUGUCCGAUAAGCGGCGGUUCGUUUCGCCACCAUGUUUGAAGCACACGUAAGGCUCGUCGUUCCUUUCUUCCCGAUUGUUAUCUUACACCAUGAAUUUGAUUGUAUAAGCGCUCUGUUGAAUCUGUUUGAUCGGUUUAGCUUGUUUAAUUGUUGAAAUUUGCAGAAAGCCCUUUGGUUACUGGCUUUGUUGGAUUGGAAUAAUUGUAUCUGUGAUUUUUUUUUUCUGGUGUCAGGGAAGGUGUAAUGUGUAUAUCAAGUGUAUAUAUAAGUGAUUAUUCAUAGAACUUGGUAUUAUUGCACUUGAAAAUGAUCGCUGUGUGAAUUUGACGACGUUACGGUGAAGAACCGGCUUCUUUAAUAUUUUUAAACCCUGAGGACUGUAAUACCAAGUGAUUGUUCUUCUGGUUAACAUACACUAGUCUGUGCAUGUGGAGAAUUUUGAUGGUUAAUGCUCGCUAACUGCGACAAUGGGUUGAGCAUUUCAUGAUUCAAGUGUCACAUACUCGCAACUCGGCUUUUUAUAGUUCGCUUAAAGAGCAUUACUCUCUCUAUCUAUGUCUUUGUGUAUGUGUGUGUCGAAAAUAUAUAAGUUGCUAGAGUAAGAAUAUUGAAAGUUGAAGGAACAGAAGGGGCGGAAACUUAGAAUUUAAAACUGGAAGUUUUUUGAGCUUAAAAUCCUUGUCAGAUUCUUGUUGAGACUGAAGAUGAUAUAUUAUGAAGGUUUUUCAUCAUUUAUAAUGAAGCGAAAUUAUAAUUUUGGAUGACCUGCAAACCUGCAUAACCCCUACAAUGUUCAAUUAGUACAGCUAUCAAAGAUACUAUUAAUAAACAAGACUCAACUAGGCCUAGCAAGAAAUUCACGGACUGCCUAAGAAACAACAGUCUUCCAGUUCAUAUUCAGCAGAAGAAAGGGGUAUCUGUGAAAUCAUUUGAAACCAUAGUGCAUGGGAAGUCCCAAAUAAGACCAUAUCCCAUAAGGAAAUCACUUCCAACCACUGUUGUCUCAAAUAGUUUGUAUUCCAAAGUCUCUGGUAGAUGAGAUGAAAAUCUUGUUUAUGCAUGUAGUUGUUCUUUCUCUAUAAUAAACUAAUAAAGUUAUGUUUAUCAUAUGGAAAAGGAUUACAUUUAAACAUUAACGGACAUGCAUGCUUGUUCGUAUAUAGUAGCUCUAGAUGAAAUGAUAACUUAUAAUGUUUUAUUGGUAGGUUCUGCAUUUACUUCGAAGAUAUUUGGGCGAAUAUGUCCACGGACUCUCAGCUGAAGCUUUAAGAAUCAGUGUCUGGAAAGGUUUGUAUUAUGACUUAGUGGUCAUUUCUCUGUAUUUUCUCAUCCUUCCUACCUAAGUUCGAAGAUUACUACAUUUUACCUUAAUGUUUGUGAAACUUUUAAGCAACAUGCUUACCGUAUUGGGAACAUGUCAAGUGCAGUGGUUUAUAGUGACUCGCUGAUACUCUUAUAUAUCCUCAAAUUAACAGGUGAUGUUGUUCUCAAAGAUUUGAAGUUGAAGGCAGAGGCCUUAAAUUCACUGAAACUUCCAGUCACUGUGAAAGCUGGUUUUAUUGGUACCAUUACAUUAAAGGUAUCAAGUGGCUUAAACCUUCUCCCUGGCUGGGUUUAUGUUCUUAAUUGCUGCUGAUAGUAUGUCCACAUUUCUUUUCGAUGUUCUUAAUGUCCUCUUUCCUUGUAGGUUCCCUGGAAAAGUUUAGGCAAAGAACCUGUCAUUGUUCUCAUUGACCGUGUAUUCAUUCUUGCUUAUCCACUUACUGAUGGCCAGAAUCUCAAGGUACAGUGAUAUCCUUAUAGUGGAAAAACUUUUAGUUCAAUUGCAUAUUGCUGGAGGUGUAUUUUCUUAUGGAUUAAGAUUACCUUGUUUUACAUUACUAUCAUCAUUAAAUUAUUGAUUGUUACUAAUUUUGUUGUGUAGGAGGACAGGGAAAAACUAUUUGAAUUCAAACUUCAACAGAUUGAGGUAAAACUCAGUGUUGUCUAUGUAUGCUCUAUCUAUUUUUGAUUGAGGUUGCCAGUAUGGUUUUGAUGGACAUAUCUUUCGUCCCACCGGUAGUAGUUCUUUCAGAAGUAAAAUGUGUGUUUCCUAUAAAAAAACUGGUAAAAGUAGUAAAGGUGAAGGUUUAUUGUGAGGAACAGAAUUGGAAGAUCUUUGACAAUUGACUGUAUGGUAUAGGCCUGUGACUGACUAUUGACUAGUUAACCUAAAAGGUAAAAGAACACACUAGGUGAAUAAAAAAAUAAUCAACUGAUCGAGAAAAUAAUGAUUGAAAAAGAAAAAUGCAUACCUAUGUCCUGCCUAGUGGGUUUUCUUAUACAUUCACAUUGAAAUUUAGUUGUGGUGUUAAUGUUCAUUGGUUAGGGUAUGUAAAUUUGUUUCUUAAAUAUUAUUUAUAGAUAGAUUUUGAUUUUUGCAGAGGAAAAUUUUUCAGAUGUACUCUCUGGUCAAAUAUUUAGAAAUUUUUUCAUAUAUUGCAUGCAGGAAACAGAGGCAGCAACUCUUGAAGCAAUGUCGAAGUCAAAGCUAGGAAGUGUAUGAUGCUUAAUUUUAUUAAUAUUACAUUGGGCAUCUAUUUUUGGUUAAACUUGUUAUGCAUCCUUAACCCUUUUUGUAGCAGCUCUCCUAGUACAUUAUGUUACUUAUAAUGGGCUUUUUGCCACAUAUUACUUGGAUCUGGCUUUUUUCAUUUUUCCUACAUGAAACACAAAAUAUGGCUUUUUUGGCUCAUGGAAUUUUUAGUGAGGCCACGUAGCUCAUAAUAGGCUUUUUGCAAAUCCACAAACAAGAUCAAUCUUGAUGGCAUGCACUUCUGAUUUGUUUUUCCCUUUUCAUAGCCAAAAGAUUGGUGAAAGUGAUGUUGGUUGGCUUUUUUUGAUUGAGAUAUAUGUUUAUGGAGUUGGGUAAUGUUGAAAUCUAUGAAAUAGAUAUCUCCCUUGAAAGUAGUGAUGGGGAAGGAAAUCAGGUGGUGCUUGGUAGGAAAUUCACAUAUGUUUGACAUGAUGAAUUUGUUAAAUAUGUUACAAAUAAGUGUCUACCUCAAAAACUGAAGGCUUUAUGCAGGAAGUUCUUGUAACACUUAUGCAUAAAUCAAAGUAGUAUUUUGUGCUAACACCCGCUUACAUACAAACUGGAUUGAAUUAGCACCCCCUCUUUGUUUAUUAAGUGAAUAGACGGUGUAUUUCAUUCCCAUUCUUCGAUACAAAAUUUAGCAGUUCAGUUGACAGCUGACUAUUUUGCAGCCACCUCCUGGGAAUUCAUGGCUAGGUUCCCUCAUUGCUACUAUUAUCGGAAAUCUGAAAAUAUCAAUUAGCAAUGUACAUGUUAGAUAUGAGGAUUCAAUCAGGUUGGUAACUUCCUUAGCUUCUUUUGAAGUCUGAAAUCUUCUAUUUGUUUUGUACCCAGUUUAUUUCUAUUUUUUGCUCUCCAGAUGUUAAAUUUUGUGUCCUUCUAUUGUUUUCUAGCAAUCCAGGACAUCCAUUUUGUUCAGGUGUUACUUUAGCCAAGCUGGCUGCUGUUACAAUGGAUGAGCAAGGGAAUGAAACAUUUGAUACCAGUGGUGCGCUUGAUAAGUUGCGGAAGGUUAGCCUUGUCUUUUAUUAUUUAGGAUCCUGGUGUUUAUGAGAAUGCUUAUCUGUCGAGCAUGGAGCACUAUCUUUUUAAUUUUCUGGACUACUUUGAUCUUUGUCAAUACUAAGCCAUCUAACAAAACAAGCAAGUCCACAUACAGAGGCCAACUGAAUAAACCAAAAACCCGCAAUGGCACUUUUGCACAAAUAAUAGAUCAAUGAAGAUGAAUCACACUGUAUCGAACAUCCUUGAAAGGCUUAGAAAAGGACGCCCUACUUUGUAGAAUUGUUUUCAUAAUUGUAACAAUGUCCUGUGUUUUGUGGUUUUCAUAUUUAUUUGUAUGUUUUAUGCUUUUACAUGUAAAUUUGAUAAUCUUAUGUUGAAUACAAACAAUCUCCUUGUGACAGUCCUUGCAACUUGAGAGACUUGCUAUGUAUCAUGAUUCUGAUAGUGUUCCUUGGAAGAUAGAUAAGGGAUGGGAAGAUCUCACUCCUGAGGAAUGGAUUCAGGUUUGUUCUUAUGCUGCAGUUUUACUAGCCCCUGUACUCUGCUAUAUUAAAGCAUCUACUUUUGGUAAUGUUGUCUCGCCUAACCAAAUCUAUUUACUGCCUAAAAGUUCUGCUAACUUUUCUUUGUAUCAAUAUGUACUAGAUCUUUGAAGAUGGUAUAGAUGAACCUGCUGAUGACAGUGGAAUGGUGUCUAAGUGGGCUGUGAAUCGCAAGUAUUUGGUGUCACCUAUAAAUGGAGUUUUAAAAUAUCACCGCAUUGGAAAUCAAGAAAGAAAUGAUCCAGAGGUUCCGUUUGAGAAGGCUUCCCUUGUGCUGAGUGAUGUUUCUUUGACAAUAACUGAGGUGCACAAUGUUUUUCCCUUUAAAAUGUCUUAUUUUCCGGUAUUAUUUUAUUCACCCUCUCCCUUGCUUCUUCCCCUCUCAAUGCUUUCUUCUAAUAUGUAAGUAUAGAGUAAAAUUGCUUUUCUCAGCUCUCGGAGGAAAGUUAGAGGUGUUAGUUUUCUCUUUUCCACAACCCAUAAAAUUUGUUCUUUUUCGUACUUUCUUGGUGUGCAGCUGGAGUGCUAUGACUCAUUUCUACUGGUUUUUUUUCAGGCCCAAUAUUAUGAUUGGAUAAAACUAUUAGAAGUUGUUUCAAGAUACAAGACUUAUGUUGAUGUUUCCCAUCUGAGACCUUUGGUGCCAAUUUCAGAGGGUCCGUAUUUGUGGUGGCGCUAUGGUGCUCAAGCAACCCUGCAGCAGAAGAAAAUGUGGUAAUAUAUAUUUUGAUAAAGAAAAUGUAUCUAUAUACUCUUUUAUGGUCUGUUUGUAGCCUGUUUACGGCCUGGUAGAUUGUCUUAAUUCAAGGUUUUUUUGUCAGCUUCUCAUUUUUACAAUAUGCCUUUAAAUUUUAUAAACAAAAAAUACUGGAAUUGAGUUAAGGGUUGUAUUUGACUUUUCAAAUAUUUGGUGAAACUUCUCACAACAUUCUUUUGGACGUAUAUUGCAAAUCGUGAUGUAUUUUUAUGAAUUUCCCAUGUUGGUUCUGACAGUCUUCACACUUGUUUUCCUGAAUCAGUUACCGAUUCUCUUGGGACCGCAUUCGAGAUCUUUGUCAGUUUCGCCGCCGUUACAUUCAGUUGUAUGCUGGUUCACUGCAACACUCAUCAAACGUUAAUAAUGCAGAAAUUAGAGAAAUUGAGAAAGAUCUGGAUUCUAAAGUAAUUCUUUUGUGGAGGUAAAUGUUUUAUUGACCUUUUGACUUCAUUGCUAUAUAUUAAAAUUGAUUGUAGAUUUUAGGGAAUGCAUAUAUUCCAUAUUAACCUUGGCCUUACACCUCAUAUUUGUUAUUUUGGGUUCAAAGGAACCACAGUUGAAUUUGGAUUGGAUUUGGAUUGGAUUUGGAUUCUAUUAUUUAACUGUAUGGAUUAGUAAUUUAAACCCAUUUGGUAUGUUUAUGAAAUUUGCAAAGUGAUUAGCUUUUAUUCCCUUAAAUUGUUGGAAUAAAAUGCCAAAGCAAUAAGAUUAUUAUGUUGAAUUAAACUUGGAAUUUAGUCUUGGAAUCCGUGAGGAAUUACUUAUAUUUGUUGAUUUAAAUUAGUUAAACUUGAGAAGGUUUUGAAUUUUGCCUUUAAUCCAAAUGUUACCUUUGAAUGUCAGUGUAGGUUUCAAUGGGGAUAGUGCAAUUUUGUCUUGCGCUUUUUUAUGUAUUCCAAGAUUUGUGAAUCUUGCUUCUCCUUUAUCUUAUUCUGAAGUACUUUACUUGACCAUAGAAUGUGCAAUUUAAACAACUUUACUUUCCAUGGAGGGUGUACCAAAGAGGCACAAGAGGAUUUCCUAUGUGUUUAUAUAAAUUUUUAGCAUGUCUACAUAUUUGGGGUAUUUAUUUUCUGGGCUUGCUUGUUUAAGAGACCGCUUACCCUGUUCUUGUAACACUUAUAUGUUAAUAAAUACCAUAAAGGUACAUUCAAUUUAUGAUGUUGUGCUCAUUUGAUGUUGUGCAUGUAUCCUGUAGGUUACUUGCACAUGCAAAGGUAGAAUCUGUUAAAUCCAAGGAAGCAGCUGAACAGAGGUCAUUCCAGAAGAAAAGCUGGUUUUCAUUUAUGUGGUUAGUCAAGACUCCGAAAUGCUCCAUUGCAAUUUCUGUGUUCUGUGAUUGUUUGUUUCUGGGUCACCUGCUGUGCUUAAGUUAUUUUGACCUCUAUUUUUGUGAAAGCUCUGUGUGUAGUUUUAUCUACGUACACUUCCCAAUUUGUGUAGUGCCACUUUUUUUCCCUCAGGCGUACACCUGCUGAAGAUUCUGCCAUUGUGGAUGCUUCUGAGGGAUCACAGUUAACGGAAGAAAGAUUGACUAAAGAGGAAUGGCAGGCAAUCAAUAAGUUACUGAGUUAUCAGCCAGAUGAAGCAGUGACAGCACAUUCAGGAAAAGACAUGCAGAAUAUGAUCCGGUUUUUGGUAACUGUGUCUGUUGGUCAAGCAGCUGCUAGGAUCAUUGAUAUUAAUCAAACGGAGGUUUUAUGUUGUAGAUUUGAGCAACUUCAAAUCUCAACCAAAUUUAAACAUCGAAGUACCUACUGUGACGUGUCCUUGAAAUUCUAUGGUUUGUCUGCGCCUGAAGGCUCACUUGCCCAGGUUUGUUUCCAUAUAAAUGUCAGAAUUUGAUUUAGCAGUAACAGGUUUUAAGUUGGCGAUGGGAGAAUGUUAAUGUGAAUUGUAACUGUUUUGAUGUCAAUAUUUUCUGAAUUUAGUGAAUUUCUAUAAUUUGAAGUGGUUUUAAUUUGUUUUAACAGUACUUAAUCUCCGUCCUCCCCUCUAUCUACUGUUCUUACAUGUGAAUUUCUGAUAUUAAUCUGACAUGGAAUCAAAAUGAUGCUAUGUUGCGCCGCUGCAUCUUGUUUUUAAGUUACUCAUCUUUUAUUCCUGUCCUUUUUUUGGCAGAGUGUCUGUAGCGAGAAGAAGGUGAAUGCACUAGCCGCUAGCUUUGUACACUCUCCAGUUGGAGAGAAUGUUGACUGGAGGCUGUCAGCUACAAUAUCUCCCUGCUACGUCACGGUGAUUGUCCAAUCUUUGAAUAUAUAUAUACACACACACACGCGCGCGCACGCAGAGAGAGAGAUUUUGUAUUUGUGUUGGUCUUCUUGACCAACCUCCUUCUUGUUCUCCUCUCUUAAUACUACUGGGCAUUGGUUUUGAAUGAGUUCAGGGAUUAUUCUCUUUCACAUAUAGUGUGGGAUAUGUUAGCAGCCGUAAAAUGAAUUUGGUUGAGGUUAUGCUACUUGUAAAUACAUCAAGAUUUUGUAUUUGUGUUGGUCUUCUUGACCAACCUCCUUCUUGUUCUCCUCUCUUAAUACUACUGGGCAUUGGUUUCGAAUGAGUUCAGAGAUUAUUCUCUUUCUCAUAUAGUGUGGGAUAUGUUAGCAGCCGUAAAAUGAUUUUGGUUGAGGUUAUGUUACUUGUAAAUACAUCUACUUGAGUGGUCUUAGCUAGUUUAUGAUGGAUUUCUUAUCCACUAUUUUGCAAUUCAUGUUAUUAUUGUAAUAAAGUGUCAUCGUUUCUUCUAAAAUAAAAAAAUAAAUAAAAAGAAGAAGAAAAAGAAAAGAAGAGAGAGAGUGGAACCUAGUUCAAAUUACUAUCAUCUUGAAGUGGUUACGUGCAUGGAUCCCUAAGGCUCAGUUUUGAUUUUCUUUGUAUGCUUCCCCUCUUUCUUUUGUUCAACAUCUUUUUUACAUGGAGCUUCCUGAAUCUUUUCUCGUUGCAGGUUUUGAUGGAAAGCUUUCAUCGAUUUUUAGAAUUUGUGAAAAGGAGUAAUGCAGUUAGUCCUACUGUCACGUUGGAAACUGCAACUGCUUUGCAGGUAAUAAUAUCACCAUUGUUAGUGUAUUAAAAGCGUAAGGCGUGGGUGAGGCUUCCGAGGGAUAGCCUGGCCUAGGCGUGAGGUGAAGCCUCACGGGACCUAAAUUUUUUAAUAUAUACAUUGAGCGUACACAUAAACUAUAUUAAAAAAAAGAAGAUUAUUAAUCAAUAAUCACCUUGAGCACACACAUAUAUUAUAAAUAUAUAUACGCACAUAUAACAAUGCAUGCAGACAACACACACAUCCAUUAUAUAAAAAAAUAAAAAUCAGAAAAAAAAGGGAAGAGUGACGAUAGUGCAAGGAAGAGGUAUGAGCAUGGUCUAAAAUAUCCAUAAUAUCCCGAUAUUUUCAUCGAAAUUUCCGUGUUUUUGGACUACCGAUAUUUCCGAUAUCUUCGAUAUUUUAGACCUUGCUAAGUCACUCAUGUAUCUUACCAUGCAAUGUAUAAAGUGUAAAAUAUUGUACUAAUUCAUUAUAUAUAAAUGAUUAUGGUGUGUUUAAACUUCUUUAAUUAAUUACUACAUAUUUUCUACACUCACAAUGUUUGCCAGCUCGCUAUAUAAUCAAUUUAAAUCAGUUAUAUCUAUCAUGCAAUGCAUUUCCUUCUAAUUUUUUGUGAUAAACUAAUAGAUAAUUGACUAAAUAAACAUCCUGCAAAGUUUCAAUAAAAAUUUCCAAGUUUUUCUUACAAUUUCCGUGGUUUUUAUUCAAUUUUUAUCGAUAUCGAUAAUAUCCCGAUAUUUCCAUCGAAAUUUCCGUGUUUUUAGACUACCGAUAUUUCCGAUAUCAUCGAUAUUUAAUACCUUGGGUAUGAGGCAGUUAUAACGUACCCAAAUUUGGGUAAAAAAGCCCCUGAGGCGCCCCUAGGCGGUUCCGGCGACACCUUCCACCCACUCCCUCAAAACAGAGGCGGCAACCCUCACUCCCAGCCUCAGAGGACGCCUAGGCGUGCCCUGAGGCGAGCCUUUUAAAACAUAAUGUGAUGUAUGUUUAACUUUAAUAUGAAUUAUACUCGUUGACUAAUCUUUUAUCAUUCAUUUCUACGAGCAGAUGAAAAUCGAGCAAGUAACUCGUAGAGCACAGGAGCAGUUUCAAAUGGUAUUAGAAGAACAAAGCAGGUUAAUAUACUGUAUGCUUAAUUCUUAUUUCACUUGGUAAUAUAUACCUCUAUUUGUUCAGCUUUUAUAUGCUAAACAUCAUUGCUUUUCUAUUUCUUAUUCUUUUAAUACUUUGUACAGAGUAAAGCAACUGAGUUUUUUUCCACAUUGCUCUUAUGUUUACUGAUCCUGUUUCAGAUUUGCUCUUGAUAUCGACUUAGAUGCUCCAAAAGUAAGAGUUCCUAUCAGAACUUGUGGCUCUUCUAGAUGUGAUAGCCAUUUUCUUUUGGAUUUUGGUCAUUUCACGCUGCGCACAAAGGUAUGCCUCUUUUUUCUAAUGACCUUUCCAAAUUGUGCCUGAUUGAUUUGCAUUACCUGAAAUGAUAAGUUAAUCAUUGCAGGAUAGUCAGCAUGACAAACAGAGGCAGAACUUAUAUUCUCGGUUUUUUAUAACUGGAAGAGAUAUUGCUGCCUUUUUUAUGGAUUGUGGUCCUGACUGUCGAAGUUGCACUUUGGAUGUACCAGAUUAUGAUAAUCACCCACCUUUAUCUCCUACCCCAGACAAUGUUGAGAAUUGCUAUUCUCUCAUAGAUAGGUGUGGAAUGGCUGUACUUGUUGACCGGGUAAUUUGCCAUAUUUCUCUCCUGCUUGUUAAUAUUUAUAUUAUUUGGUGUCCAAGUUUUACUCUGGUUCAUUAUUAGUAGAUUUGUUGCUAACCAUACCUAUGCAUCUUUGAAUUUAAGAUCAAAGUGCCCCACCCAAGUUACCCGUCAAUGCGCAUCUCAAUUCAAGUGCCAAACCUUGGGAUUCACUUUUCACCAUCGAGAUUCCAGAGGCUCAUGAAACUGUUAAACAUAUUUACAUUGGAAACUUGCAGUCAGCCUGCUCUUGAUGAUUUUCAAGCAGGAACUCCAUGGAGUCCGGCAGAUCUUUCCGCAGAAGCUAGAAUUUUAGCAUGGAGGGUAUGUCGUCAUUCGAAGGAGCAAGUUGGUAGUUUUAUUUGUAUUUCGGCGUCUGAUGUUAUUUUUCCCUGUAUUUUUCCGAUUCAGGGGAUUGGCAAUUCUGUGGCUACCUGGCAACCAUGUUAUCUUGUGUUGUCGGGAAUAAAUCUUUAUGUGCUGGAGUCUGAAAAGUCACAGAGUUACCUGCGACACUCAAGGUUACUUCUCUCUUUCUCUCUAGGUGAAUUUUAGUACAGAGGGAGUAUAUAUUAGAAAUACCAGAAAGUUACUGCCAAAUUUCCUUGAUAGAUGGUAAUAAAAAAGGAAAAAUGAGACUAGUCAAUAAUUGGAUCAUGUUCCUGCAUUUCUGCUUUGCUGUUGUGGAUAACAGAAAAUCACGAUUUUUUUUUUUUUUUUGCAACUGAGAAAUGAAGGACGAGAUGAUCCAUUGUCGCAGCACUAUCUACAUACAACCCAAUCAACCUUCCAAAUACUGGACCAGGGGAAGGAAAUAGGCAUCCCGCCCCUUAAAACCUUGUAAUAAGGCUAACAUGAAUAAUAUUCCCAUGGCCAGGGAGCUACUACAACUUAGCAGCAUCCGUCCUCCCUAUCCUUACAGAGUAUAAGUAAUACAAAAAUGUAUAAACUGGCUGUAGUUCCCUGUCGUGGGUCAACAUUUUAAGGGUUGGAGCCCACUGAAAUCCUCCAUUUGACUGAGUUCCAAAUCAUAUAAUUGGCGAUAAGAUAAAGCUCUGGAGGAGAUCCUUCAAGGCGUACUGCUCCAUCGAUUACGCCAAAGCUAUAUCUGCACCCUUCACCCGCAUCAGUGCCAUAACAUGGGAAGAGGUCCACCUAGACUUCUUCCCAAUCAUCUUACAAACUCUAUAAGGCUCCAUCACCUCAUUUGUAUGCUAUUAACCCCAUCCAAACGCAUUUACUGCACAAAUAGCUUUUCUUACUCUCUGCCCUACAGUUUGGUUUCUUUUUCGAGCAAUAUGAAAUGUUUUGGUUGUGCUUUUCUUUUGCUGUUAUCUCCUGCAAUCAAAUGUUUUAUGCUACUAACUGAAAAUUUCUAAAUUUGGAUGGUACAGCAUGGCUGGUAGACAAGUAUAUGAGGUUCCCCCAGAAAACAUUGGUGGUUCACUGUUUUGUCUCGCUGUAAGUUACAGGGGAAUGGACAAUCAAAAGGUAUGUCAAAUUUGUGGGAAGUGAUAGUUUACUGUCUGAAGGUCAAACAUCGGAAUUGAAUAUUUAUGUCUGUGCUUUCGACUUGACAUCUGAAUUAUUGGAUUGUGGAAGAAUUAUAGUUAUGUUUAUGUUUAUUUUGUUCAAGCCUUGCUUGGGGCUGGGCAUAUCCUUCCUUAUUCAAAUAUCAUACAUGUUAUGGAUUUGUAUUUCUUUCCAGGCUUUGGAGUCUCCUACUACCUUGAUUAUAGAGUUUCGGGCUGAGGACGAGAAGGCCAUUUGGUUAAAAGGGCUUAUACAAGCUACAUAUAAAGCUUCUGUAUGAUAUAAGAUCUCUAUCUUAACUUAAAACUCCUAUUUACUUAUCUCCUUGGUGGUAUCUAUAAGUUUGUAUUUAUUUUGCAUUUAGGCUCCCCCAUCAGUUAAUGUAUUGGAAGAAACAAGCGAUCCCCCUGAAUAUGGUGAACCCCAGACUACGAAUUCGAAAAUAGCUGACCUAGUUAUUAAUGGGGCACUGGUGGAGACAAAGAUAUUCAUAUACGGAAAGGUUGGUUUUUCUUUUAGUAGAUUCAUUGUGUUAAAGUAUCUACAGCAUCCUGCUUCCCAUCAUUUUUGGUUAUUUUGGAAAAUGAUUAUCACCUAUGGGGCUUACUACUGAUAUUUAGAACAAAAUGAAAAAUACUUACAAGGCUAAUGAUUAACCAAAUCUGACAGUGUUCCCUUCCUACUUUAUUGUGCAGACUGCUGAUAAAGUUGUUGAAGAACAUGGCGAGACUCUUAUUCUUGAGGUUCUUGCCAAUGGUGGAAAGGUUUGUUGCUAGUUUAUACUUCAUUUAUGAUUUUAUUAAGGGCGAAUGUGGAAUUACAUGAGAUUUUUAAAGUAAAAUGUCAAAUGCGAUUGUUGACCCUGUUCAUCAUUGUUAUUGUAUUUGUGUGUUUGAUGACUUGUGUAUUUACCCUAUAUUAGUUGAAUUGAUAGGGAGGGUAGCAUCAGAAUAAUUGGGCUAUUGGCGGGGAAGGCGUUUCCAUGUUUGGAACAUAUUUCGUUGUUCUCUGUGUAUCAGAUUUGAUAUAGUUGAUAUUUCUGUUUUACAUUUCUUGGGGUUGUGGUAUUUUGGAACAUACUGUAACAAGCGUCAUUCUUCUACAUUACUCUCCAGUUUGUUUGUUAUCCCCACUAUCUUCUUGUUAUCAUGUUCAAGUGUGCUUAGCUCAUUGUCAUGCGCCAGUGUAUUGGUAUUAAAUACUAUGCCAUUUUGUUUUACAGUUGCACAUGAUUCGCUGGGAAGCUGACCUGACACUUAAGAUGAAACUGCACUCUUUAAAAGUCAAAGAUGAGCUUCAAGUUCGUCUGUCAACAACCCCCCAGUAUUUAGCUUGCUCCGUGCUAAACAAUGACAAUAUAGUUUCUUCUCCUGGCAUAGUUGAUCCACACAUGAAAGAAAUGUCUGCUUUGCUUCAUGAGGAUGAUGAUACUUUUACAGAUGCUUUGCCGGAUUUUGUCUAUCUCCGAUACAGGCUUAGGUUCACAGAUAAUGGAUAUGGAUGCAUGUGCAACCACUGAGGACAUCAAUGAUGAUACUGGAUUUGCAUCUCCACGGGCCAUAAUUCAUGAAAAAAAUUUGGUUAAGGAAAAGGUCAUUUCUGGUGAGACAUUUUAUGAGGCGGAGGGCGGUGAUAACUCAAAUUUUGUAUCUGUUAACUUCUUGACUCGGAGUUCUAGCUCGCCUGAUUAUAAUGGUGUUGAUACCCAGGUACUACUGACAUGAGCAGUCGACUUUAGUUAUAGUCCUGGAUCUUUGUUAUAUUGGUUUUAUUUGCAAUGCAGAACUAAAUUAAUGAAACCUGUGUUUCUUACAAAUAGAAAAAUCUUAAUCUUCAAUGCUAAUGCUUUGUACUGAUCUUUUUUUUUUCUUCAGAUGAAUCUCCGCAUGUCAAAAUUGGAGUUCUUUUGCAACAGACCCACUCUUGUUGCUUUGAUUGAUUUCGGCCUGGAUUUAAGCUCAGUGUAUGAUGCAGAAGGUAGUGCAGACAUGACUAAGGUUCCAGAUGAUAAACAUUUUAUGAACAAAGAAAAGACUGAAGAAAAUGGGCGUGUCAAAGGGUUGCUGGGUUAUGGUAAAGGUCGUGUAGUAUUUUAUUUAAGCAUGAAUGUUGACAAUGUGACUGUGUUUCUCAACAAAGAGGAUGGCUCUUCAUUUGCGAUGUUUGUGCAAGAAAGUUUCCUGCUGGAUCUCAAGGUGAUGGGAAUAUUGUGAUUAACAAUUAUUUCGAUGUGUUGGUUGAAAUUUACUACUGUGUGUGAUGUUUUAGGUAUCAAAUAACUAUAUUACUGACUUGAGUUGUUUGUUUGUUAAGGUCCACCCGAGUUCUCUUUCCAUUGAAGGCACCCUAGGAAAUUUUAGACUUCGUGAUAUGUCUCUUGGAGCAGAUCACUGCUGGGAUUGGCUUUGUGAUAUACGUAAUCCAGGUGUUGAUUCCCUUAUCAAGGUACAAAUAACAUCAAUUAUCAGCUAUUGCAUUGCAGACAUGAUUCUUUUUUUUUUGCUGUGAUAUUUAUUUUGUUAUGAAAAUUUCAUCUUUUUAUUUGUUUUGCAGUUCAAAUUUAACUCUUAUAGUGCUGAAGAUGAUGACUAUGAAGGAUAUGAUUACAGUUUGUGUUGCCGACUUUCUGCUGUCCGCAUAAUUUUCCUCUAUAGGUUUGUUCAGGAGGUAUGUUUGGCAUUGCUCUCAAUCAUUUGGAUACAACAUUCACAUGGGUGUGUUAAUUUGUGUAAUCUAAAUGCUUGAAGUUUAUAUUUUCAGGUUUUAUUUAUAUUUGUUCUUUAUUUUGUAAUUAACGAUAUUCCAUUUUUGAAGUAUCACAUACUUUUUUGGACAUGCUAAUGCAGAUAACAGUGUACUUUAUGGAACUUGCCACCCCACAUACUGAAGAGGCAAUCCAACUUGUUGACAAAGUUGGAGGCUUUGAGUGGCUGAUUCAGAAAUAUGAGAUUGAUGGAGCUACAGCAUUGAAGCUGGACCUGUCACUUGAGACUCCAAUAAUCCUUGUUCCAAGGAAUUCAAGAAGCAAAGAGUGCGUGAAUUUGGAUUCUGUUUUUACUAUAUAAUGCACAUAUUUGGGUUAAUUAGAUAGUUGGGUUGUUGUUUGAUGAAGAAGUUGAGAACUGCAUGGGAAUUUCCGGUCGAGAGUUUAUAUAAAUAUUUUGAAAAUGGCUAUCUGGUUCAAGUUUCAAAAGUUGGCAGAUGAAUAGUUUUCAUUAAUUGGAGGGGCAUGGUUCUAGUGUUACUGAAGACUGCUUGAUUUUUGGUCAUACUGGUGGUGCUGCUCAAUAUUUUGUCGCUUUAUGUCUGGAUCUUGUAUUUUCAAAGUUAAACACGUUUGUUAUAGCAGUACUUAAGAUUGACAUUUGUCUCUAUAUUUGAUCUAAUUGCAGUUUCAUUCAACUUGAUCUGGGACAGCUAAAAGUCACAAAUGAACUUAGUUGGUAUGGUUCCCCUGAGAAAGAUCCUUCAGCUGUCCAUAUUGAUGUCCUUCAUGCUGAGGUAGGUGAUUUUUAUUUCUUUUUCUUGGACAUUAUCACUGAAAUUACUGAACUAAUUUUUACUCUGACAUAAAAUUUCAGAUAAUGGGGAUCAACAUGUCUGUAGGAAUUGACGGUUGCUUGGGCAAAUCAAUGAUACGAGAAGGCAAAGGACUUGAUGUUUAUGUGAGGAGAAGUUUGAGGGAUGUCUUCAAGAAAGUUCCAACAUUUUCUCUGGAAGUGAAGGUAACUAUUGUGUGUGAGAUGUAAAAUAUUUUAUUGAAUUUAUGGGUGGAUAGUUGAUACAUGUGGUGGAUGAUCUUGUGGGGGAGUUCAUCCUGUAUUGAUUGUUAGUUGAUACAGUACAAGAUGAUAUUAAGUGCAUGGGGUCAUAAUAUUGUUUCAAACGGUGAACAUACUUGGGAAUUGCUGAGCGUUUUGGACCUAUCCUUUACUUUUUUAGUACUCAAUAUAUGGCGAUCUAACUUAUUCAUCCUCCUUUGAAAAAAGAAAAAAAACCUUAGUCAUCCUCCAUUUGCUCCAUUGUUGUGAUCACAUGUUUUAACUUUGUAUGAUUCCCUACAUUAUUGUUUCUAUAGAGUGAUGUUUCUAUUGAGGAAUGCCUCACCUUGUAUUUCAAUGAUCCAAACCAUCUAAUUUUAGGUUUUCAAAUAUCAUCGUUGCAAAAUAUCAGUCAAAUCCGAAACCAUUUAACCACUUAAUUAAAUGGUUGUCAUUUAAUGUUUCCUUGAAAUAAUGUAUUCUAUCUUCUUGGCUACAAUGAGAUGUCUUAGUGGUUUCGGAUUUGUCUAACCUUUUGCAAGGAUGAUCGUUGGGCGGGACCUACAAGGUAUUCCGCAAUAGAGGGGACUCUAAUUAUAUAUAUAUAUAUAUAUAUAUAUAUAUAUUAUAUAUCUAAACUACAUUAAUAAAACCCUCUUUGUCAACCAAAAGAGGGUAAAAAGAUAAUUUUGUCUUCUACCACAAAACAAAAUCAUGGGCAGUAAAGUAAAUUCACACAAACUAAAUUUUACAGUGUUUUUUUCAAAGCCUCACCCAAGGGCGAUCCAAAAAUUCUUUAAUUUUGAAAAAUAAAAUAUAAAAAAAAAGAAAACUUCUCUAUCUAAUCCACAUUCCUUUUUUCUCCCUUUCACCUUCCCAUUUUAAAAUAAAAAUAAAAAUUAUUUUCACACACAAAGUGUGGGGCAUAUGCUAGUAUAUAUUUAUGCAUACAAAUUGUUAACUUUAUUUAUACCCUCCAAAAAGUGAAACAUAUGUGGACAAGAAAUCGAAGUUUUGUUUGCUCCGAUUGUGAUCUUGUGUGUUCUGUAUUCAAAUCUUGAACCCCUUAACUAUUCUUUGCCUUUGCUUCUGCAUGUGGCCUAUACAUGGUUUGGUUAUAUUAGGUGUGCAUGUUUGGGUGUUUGCUUAUUCAGCUUUAUUUUAUUUUUAUUGUUCAAGUAUUUUUUCCCCUUUUUAUAUGGCUCCAUAGUUGAAUGGGUUUUGCUUUCCUGAAUUUCAAAUUGGUCUUGAAUCGAUGCUCUUAAGGCUUUUAGUUAAUUGGAUUUUAUUCUGUUAUCAUGCAGUGUCAUAUUUUUCUGCUGAUUUGUACCCUUUGAUUGUCUUCUACCAGGUUGGAUUAUUGCACAGUGUCAUGUCUGACAAAGAAUAUAAAGUCAUUCUGGACUGUGCAUACAUGAAUUUAUGCGAAGAGCCAAAGCUUCCCCCUAGUUUCCGUGGUGGUAAAUCUGAUUCAAAGGAUACAAUGAGACUGCUGGCUGAUAAGGUCAACAUGAACAGUCAACUCCUACUAUCAAAAACUGUUACCAUAGUGGCAGUUGUGAUUGAUCAUGCCCUGUUGGAAUUGUAUAAUGCCAUCCAUGCGGAGUCUCCUUUCGCUCAAAUUGCUGUGAGUAUUUGCAUCAAUCACAUUUAAAUAGGGUUCGUUUUGAAUUGUGUGUACUUAAGUCCUGUUUUAGCUCUCUGAGAUGUCAACUUUCAUCUUGGUGUUAAGAUUUCAAACAGAGUUGUUUGUUGUUUUUUUGACAUUGUAUGACUGUUCUGAUCGUUUGGUUAUCAUCUUAUGUACUUGUUUCAUAGAAAAAAUAAAAACAGAAUCUUAUGUAAUUUGUUUCUGUUUAACAGAUCGAAGGUCUUUGGGUAUCGUAUCGGAUGACUUCAUUGUCAGAGAUAGAUCUCUACAUAACCAUUCCGAAAUUUUCUGUUGUUGACAUUCGGCCCGAUACAAAACCUGAAAUGCGCCUAAUGCUUGGAUCAUCCACUGAUGAUUCCAAACAAGUUUCUUCUGGAAGUUUGCCCUUUUCCUUGAAUAAGGGGAGCUUUAGAAGAACAGACUCUGAUGCUGGAUUUUCUCAUGUGGAUUUACCAAUAUCAACAAUGUUCUUGAUGGAUUAUAGAUGGCGCAAAUCUUCCCAAUCAUUUGUGGUUAGGGUUCAGCAACCUCGAGUUCUUGUUGUAGCUGAUUUCCUUUUGGCUGUGGGUGAGUUUUUUGUGCCUGCAUUACGAACAAUAACUGGUAGAGAGGAAGUGAUGGAUCCUACGAAUGAUCCCAUUGGUAAAAAAUGUAGCAUAGUAUUCUCUGGACCCAUUUACAAACAGACAGAAGAUGUGGUGCACUUGUCUCCAAGUAGACAGUUAGUAGCAGAUUUUUUGCACAUUGAUGAAUAUACAUAUGAUGGAUGUGGAAAGACCAUCUAUUUGAGUGCGGAAAUGGACGCAAAAGAACUCCAUUCAACUAGGCCUCGGCCCAUUAUUAUAAUUGGACAUGGAAAGAGGUUGCGAUUUAUGAAUGUCAAAAUUGAGGUACAGAUCCGUCCUUUCAUCUGUGACAAGCAGUUGACGUUUUUUCAGUUGUUUUUAAUGCAGCAUCAGAAUAUGGUAUGCAUAAGAUUUCAGUACUAUUUAGAAGGUGUGCAAUUGGUGUGGAGAAAAUGUUUUCCGAUAAACUUCACAAAACAUAGGUUUAGGAUUCAGAAACCAGAAAAAGGACUAUAUAGAGGUACAAAGAGCAUUUCACAGUGUAGUCGGGAAAAGACGGAAAAAAGUGUCAAAUUUUUAUAUGUGACCACACGUGUUGUUUUGUUUUACUUAUUUUAUUUUUAGUUUGUUUUUCUCAUCCCUCAGUAAUUGGCAUGUGUUCCAACUAUUGAUUGACACUUUCCUGUUAAUACAUCAGAAUGGUUCUAUUUUGAGGAAGUAUACACAUUUGAGUAAUGAUAGCAGCUACUCAGUAUCUUCAGAGGAUGGUGUGGACAUCAUGUUGCUGGACAGUUACUUAUCUGAUGAUGACAAGAAGCAUUUAGAAGACUUGCAUAAAUCGUCAGACACCUCCAACAUUUCUUCGGAUUCUGAAAGUGAUCCAAAUAUGAUCCCAAGUUUCAGUUUUGAAGCACAGGUAAGUAAUUUAUUAUCAACAUAACUGUUUUGCAAAGUAAUUCAUGGCACCGCUUACAUUGAAAUUGAUAAACUGAUUGAAAUCAUCGGUAGAUUAUUAUGUGGUAAUCUGUAUGCUAUGCAGUGCUUCCACAAGUUACUACUUAAGUACUCAUUAGUUAUAAUGCGAUCAUUAUCUCUAGCGUAUAUAUAUAUAAAAUAUAUAUAUAUACAGGGAGCUUAAGGGGAGGGAUCCCCAUUUUUUCAAAAAAAAUGGGGACACGCUCCCCACCGUUAGAUUGACUUUAAUGAAAUUGUGUGGUUGAGAUUAAAACACAGGCCAUAGAAUCUCAACCACAGGAUUUCAUUUAAUUCAAAUCCAACGGUGGGGAGCGUGUCCCCAUUUUUUUGAAAAAAUGGGGAUCCCUCCCCUUAAGCAAUUCCUAUAUAUAUAUAUUUUUUUUAUUUGCUUAUAUUAUGCUGAUAAACUUUUGUGCAGUUAGUUGAUUUUGAUGUUCUGUUCAUUUGUGGAUUACUUAUUUUGGCUUUUAGGUAGUUUCUCCUGAGUUUACCUUCUAUGAUUCUUCAAAGUCUUCUCUGGAUGAUUCAUAUGGUGAAAAGCUUCUUCGUGCAAAGUUGGAUUUUAGCUUCAUGUAAGAGUUUCCAUAUUUAUUUUUCACAUACUUUUUCACUUUUUCGAGGGAAAAGUUAAGGGUGCAAUAGAAGUUACUUUGAAAGCUUUGGCAUACGUGAACUUUUAACGCUAAUUAUACUUCUUAAAGUAUUUUAAGGAAGUAUUACGUACAAAGAAUUUACACUGAUUGAUCUACGUAACCUGUUAAUACAGGUAUGCAUCCAAAGAAAAUGAUACCUGGGUUCGAGCCCUGGUGAAAGAUCUUACAGUUGAGGCUGGUUCUGGUCUUAUUGUUCUUGAUCCAGUGGAUAUAUCAGGGGGUUACACUUCUGUGAAGGACAAAACAAAUAUGUCUUUGUUAUCAACCGAUGUUUGCUUCCAUCUUUCACUGAGUGUUGUGUCUCUUAUACUUAAUUUGCAAAGCCAGGCAACAUCAGCAUUGCAAUUCGGAAAUUCUAUGCCAUUGGCUGGAUGUACCAAUUUUGACCGAAUUUGGGUGUCCCCAAAAGGUAUUUCUCAUAACUUCUCUGGUGAAGUUUGAUAUCUUAAUUGCACCAUUUCUUUUCAUCAGAAUGGUUUUCAUGUCAGUCAUCAAAGACUUGACAUUUUUGUGUAUUUAUGCAGAAAAUGGAUCUUCUUACAACCUUACCUUUUGGAGGCCUCGAGCACCUUCAAAUUAUGUUAUACUGGGAGACUCUGUGACGUCAAGGUAGAAUUAAAUGGAUUAUCUUUUUGAGGACACAAUAAUUUCUUAAUGAAAUGGACAUUACAAUCUCUAGACAAGCAUUCCACAGCAACAGAGAUGAAACUAAAAGGUCCUAUUUUACAAGAAGAGUCAUCAAAGAAUUUGGCCCCAUGCUGCAUAUUGUUGUGUUUUAUAACUGUAAUUUAUACAGAUGAGUUCCCAAGUAGUAAUAAAUUAAAAAGGAAGGCAAUGUGAAUAUCAUAACUAUGAGUUAAUCUGGAGAUCUUGUUUGUAUGCGUCAUGGUUGUAAAGGUGGACUUCUUUUCCAUCACAUGUACUUUUUGAGCUUAUUCACUCAAAUCUUGAGAAAAAUAAAAAUCUGUAGUUGUAGGUUGCCAUUAGGUAAAAACUUCCCAGCCAUGUGCUAAUGCUCCUUUAUCAUGAGAAAUUAGUACUCUUGAUGACUUCCAAUGAAGCUUGUUUAAUAACAAAAAAUUGAGUGCUGGCAUAAAUUUUAUUGCUUGAAAGCAAUUUACAUAUGCUUGUGCCCAUGUAAGCAUGAUUUGUAUUAUUUUUAUCUAGCUGUCUGGAAUUAAAGGAACAUAAAGUAGAUGACCUAAUUAAUAAUAUAUGGAUGGUUUGGGUACGGCUCAUUGUAUUUUGUUUACUUUCUUUAUUAUUGAUCUAUUUGGGGAAGAUACUCUCCUUGUUCGUUCAAGUAGUUCUGUUUUGUGUGAGUGUGUUUGGAUGCUAUAUUUAAUUAUUUUUGGUUUCUUGUGAUGUCUUCAGGCCAGUUCCCCCUUCACAGGCGGUAAUGGCAGUGAGUAAUGCGUAUGGGCGUGUGCGUAAACCAAUUGGUUUUAAUCUCAUAGGUUUGUUCUCUGCUAUUCAAGGAUUUGGUGGGGCUGAUUCUGAUGUUGGUGGUGAUUGUUCUCUUUGGAUGCCUGUAGCACCACCCGGAUACACAACAUUGGGUUGUAUAGCAAAUAUAGGGAAAGAGCAGCCUCCUAAUCAUAUUGUUUAUUGCAUACGUUCUGAUCUUGUUACAUCAACAACAUAUUCAGAAUGCUUAUUUUCUUCUCCAUCAAAUCCUCAAUUUGCAUCUGGAUUUAGCAUCUGGCGCAUGGAGAAUGUUCUUGGAUCAUUUCAUGCCCAUUCUUCUACUGAAUGCCCUCCUGAAGACAAUUGUUGUAACCUCAAUCAUCUUCUUCUUUGGAAUUGGAAUCGGCAUCAGUCUUCUCCUAAAGAAUCCGCCUCAAAUUUGGCUGUUGAUAAUAACUAUGCAAGUCAGCAAACCAGAAACCAGACUGGAAAUUCUUCUGGAUGGGAUAAAGUCAGAUCAAUUUCAAGGGCAAUUAAUUGUUUUAUGUCGACCCCCAACUUUGAGAGAAUCUGGUGGGACAAGGGUAGUGAUCUCCGCCGACCAGUCUCAGUAUGGCGGCCCAUCGCACGUCGCGGCUAUGCCAUAUUGGGUGAUUGCAUAACCGAAGGGUUAGAAAUUUGAUCUUUGUGUUUUCUUUAUCAGGUUUAGUCAGUUGAAUUUUUUUUGUUAUUGUAAGUUUUGUUAACCAGCACGUGUUCUUCUUUCUUUCAGCUUAGAACCUCCAGCUGUGGGCAUAAUUUUUAAGGCUGAUGAUCCUGAAGUAUCUGCAAAACCUGUACAAUUUACUAAAGAUGCCCACGUUGUAGGGAAGGGUUUUGAUGAAGUAUUCUUUUGGUACCCAGUUGCUCCACCUGGUUAUGCAUCUCUUGGAUGCAUAGUCUCCAGGACGGAUGAAGCCCCAUGUGUUGAUACAAUUUGUUGCCCUAGGAUGGAUCUUGUUAACCAAGCUAAUAUUCUUGAGGCGCCAAUUUCAAGAUCUUCAACUUCAAAGGGAUCUCAAUGCUGGAGCAUUUGGAGAGUUGAAAAUCAGGUUGGGUUUCUAUCUUUCUUUAUUCUGUUUAUUUAAUUUUGUGUGUGAAGGGAGUGGGCCUGGGAAGGGAUUUGAGACAUAAACUAAAGAUCUAACCUAAACAUAACUGGUGGCCACAGUCCAUACAAGAAAUUAAGUUACAUUCAGCUCAAAACCAGCACCUAAUCAUGUUGAAUGACACUAAAAGAAGUAUCCUAGAUUUCUUGGUCACAAAGUUCUUCAAGAAGCUAAAUAUUGAUUCUGGCCCCAAAAAUUCCACUGCCCUGCCUUGUGAUCAAAUGUCCUGUUAUUUCUUUCUAUCAAAAAAUAAAUAAAUAAAUAAAUAAAACAGAAAGAAGUCAGCUUGUUAGAUGAAUAUUUUGUUAUUUGUAAGUCUAAAUCUGUCAUGUAAGUAUGCAGCUGCCAUGCCUGAAGUUUGGUAAAAUUAGAAGAGAACAGUAACUUGUGCCUUUCAUAUGAAGUUUUUAUUUUUAUUUUACGUGAUGUGUUUAUUGUGUCAUAACUGAACAAGUUUUUACAUAAUUGUGGGGCGCUCUUCUGUUUCUGCAGGCCUCCACUUUUCUUGCACGGGCUGAUCUGGAAAAACCGUCAAGCGGAUUGGGUUAUGCUAUUGGUGAUUCCAUGAAGCCAAGGACCAGGGAAAAUAUAACUGCAGAGGUGAAGCUGAGAUGCUUCUCUUUAACUGUUCUAGACAGCUUAUGUGGAAUGGUAUGUCUUAUAAACACAUUUCUAAGUCUGGAAACCGAUGUAAAGAUGGUUUUCAUUUUCAAACUGAUAUUGAUUAUAUUUCGAUUUUUCAGAUGACACCACUAUUCGACACGACAAUCACCAAUAUCAAGCUUGCAACACAUGGUCGACUGGAGGCUAUGAAUGCAGUACUGAUUUCCUCAAUUGCUGCAUCAACCUUCAAUACUCAAUUAGAAGCAUGGGAACCACUUGUGGAGCCUUUUGAUGGAAUAUUCAAGUAUUAUAUUUGCUCUUUCUAUCUGAUUUUGAGUUCAAUUAAAUUUUUGUUUUACUCAGGAAUUAUUUUUGUUGACUUUUUCAAGGUUUGAAACUUAUGAUACUAAUGUGCACUCACCAUCAAAAUUUGGGAAGACACUGCGAAUUGCUGCCACCAGUAUCCUUAAUUUAAAUGUCAGUGCUGCAAACCUUGAAACUUUUAUUGGGAGUGUUCUUUCAUGGAGAAGACAAUUUGAACUUGAACAGAAAGCAAUGAAGAUAAAUGAGGUAAUACCUAGGGUUGAUUUAUUGUGUACCUAUGCGUCCUGUAUUUUCUAUUCUUUGUGAUGGGGGGAUGGGGAUGUGGGUGGGAGGGUGGGGGUGAAGUAACAAUACUUUGAAUACCAAAUUGUGUCUUUGCAGGAAUCUGGUGGUCUAUGUGGACAAGGAGAGGACCAGACUUUAUCUGCAUUGGAUGAAGAUGACUUUCAGACUGUAGUAGUAGAGAAUAAACUUGGGUGUGAGAUCUAUGUGAAAAGAGUUGAGGAAAAUGCACACAAAGUGGACCAGUUACAUCAUGGUGACUACAUUUCUAUAUGGGUGCCGCCUCCAAGGUUUUCUGAUAGGUUCAACGUUGUAGAUGAUUCUAAGGAAUCACGCUAUUAUGUUGCUAUACAGAUCCACGAAGCCAAGGUUGUAACUGGUUAAAUUUAUUUUUUUCUUACCUUAAAUGUUUUAUCAUUUUGUUUCCUACGCUCAAGAGAUAAUGUUGAUUCUUUGUUUGCAGGGUUUACCUAUUGAAGAUGAUGGUAACAGCCACAACUUCUUCUGUGCUUUGCGCCUUGUUGUUGAUAGUCAACCAACAGAUCAUCAAAAACUUUUUCCUCAAAGUGCAAGGACAAAAUGUGUUAAGCCUGCGGUUUCAAAUUUCAAUAACUUGAAUGAAGGUACAGCGGAAUGGAAUGAACUUUUCAUAUUUGAAGUUCCUCGGAAGGUAUCUGACAUGGUUUGUGCUGUUUUUUACUCUUUCCUCCCACUCUUUUAUUCUUUAAGUUUCCAAGCUUGAGUGUGCAAGUGUUGCAGGGCCCAGCAAAACUGGAAGUAGAGGUGACAAACCUUGCAGCAAAAGCAGGAAAGGGUACGUUCUAUUGGCAACCUUCCCUGAAUUAUGCAUUCUUUCUUGUUUUGAACUUGCAUUCACAUUUUUUUAUUCUUGCACUUAGGUGGUUGAUUCACAUGUUUAUCUAGAAUUAGUAAACCUUGUAUUCAAGAGGGGAUUGAAAUAUUCAGCAUAUAGAUAUCUUUUCCCACAGCUACUACAUAUACCAUUUUGUAUGUUUAUGGUCACAUCUGAUGGCCUAUCUGUUGCUGCUCUGAAUGUGUUUUUCAGAAUUGUUUUUCCCAAAUCCGAGCUUCACUUUGUACUACUGCUUUCUUUUUCCAGUUCAUUUAUUAAUCAGAUGUACUGUGUACCUGACAAAUGUAUCAUGAUUCUUUUGAAUCAUUUCUGUUUUUCUUUAUAUUUUUUGGUUGGAUCUUUUGGGCCUUUUCAUGCAGAAGGAUAUGAUACUACAUAAUAAUAAUUAUUUAUCCUGCUUUCUUUGCUACUUCUUACUGAAUAAUAAUCAUCUAGAGGCAAAUUUCUCAUGCAUUUAUUAUGGUCUCAAUACAAUGAUACAGGUGAAGUUGUGGGUGCCCUCUCAUAUUCUGUUGGGCAAGGUGCAAAUAUGUUGAGGAAAAUAGCUUCAGUUAGGGUGUUCCAUCAAGGUCAUGAUGUUCAGAACAUAGUAUCACAUCCACUAAGAGGCAUGGUGAGCAUGUUUCACCUUAUUUAUGCAUUGAUUGGUGUCAUUGGUUGUGCACAUGUAGUUAGGAAUUGACUUCUUUUUCAUGUUUCUUUGAUGUUGUGCUUUAAAGGCUCAACAUAACAGUACUGAAGACAUGGACGAAUGUGGAUGCCUUCUGGUUUCAACUUCUUAUUUUGAGAGGAAAACAACUCCAAGUUUUCAAAGAGAUUUGGAGGCCGAAAAUGCAACCGAUAGAGACAUAGGUUUCUCUGUCGGACUUGGCCCAAAUGGUGUUUGGCAGAACAUUCGGUCAUUGCUUCCAUUGUCAGUUGUCCCAAAAUCAUUACAGAAUUGUUUCUUGGCUUUGGAAGUUGUUAUGAAAAAUGGCAAGAAGCAUGCAAUUUUCAGGGGUCUUGCAACAGUUGUAAAUGAGACCGAUGUUAAGUUGAAAAUUUCAGUAUGUCAUGCAUCUCGAAUUCAAGGUCGUGAUUCCUCUCUUGGAAGAAGCGAUAGCAUAAAUCCUGGGAGUUCUUUUAUUUUGCCUUGGAGAAGUACAUCUAGUGAUUCUGACCAGUGCUUACAAAUAUGUCCUUCUGUUGAUCAUCCUCAGCCUCCAUAUUCAUGGGGUUCUCUCGAGGCAGUGGGUACUGGUUAUACGUAUGGAAAGGACCUGACUGUUAUAGAUCAGGUUUCACUUUCUAGACAAUAUACUUCAAAGCAGGAAAAUAAGAUGCCAAAUGUUACCUUCAAGUUGAAUCAGCUGGAGAAGAAGGAUAUACUUUUGUGUUGUACUAGUACCGUAAACAAACAGUUCUGGCUUAGUGUCGGGGCAGAUGCCUCGGCACUUCAUACUGAACUGAAUGCACCUGUUUAUGACUGGAGAAUAUCUGUCCAUUCUCCUAUGAAGUUGGAAAAUCGCCUUCCCUGUCCAGCUGAAUUUACAAUCUGGGAAAGAACACGAGACGGAAAAUGCGUUGAACGACAGCAUGGUAUUAUCUCUUCACGUGGGGGUGUACAUGUAUAUUCAGCAGACAUUCAGAAACCUUUGUAUCUUACGUUGUUUGUCCAGGGUGGUUGGGUCCUGGAGAAGGUACUAGCUCUGUCUAAAUAUAAGCAACAUGCUUGUUAUAUCUACAUACCAUUGUGAGUUUAAUAACUAUGGUUGUUCUGGCAGGACCCCAUUCUUGUUUUGAAUCUUUAUUCCAAUGACCAUGUCUCAUCAUUCUGGAUGGUUCACCAGAAAAGUAAAAGGUUUGUGCUUCCGAGAAAAGAUUUCUUUGAUAUUUUUUGUUUGGUUUUGUCAAAAGUUGUUAUUGUACUGUUGUUCUCAAAAGCUCAACCUGUUAGGAUAUAGGCAAAUUCAUAUAAUAUUCAACACUCCUCCCUUGUGGAUUUCUAUCAACCAGCAAUGUACAUUUGGAGGUUUUAAUUGCAAGGAUUCCAACUCAGAAUCUCUUCUUAUGCUAUGUUAGGUUUUUACACUGGGCCAAAUUUUGUUAUACUUUAGUCUUUUUAGGUUAAAUUGAAUAUGUUUUGGUGUUCUCAACUUUGUUUAUGUUCCUUAUAUGUUGUUAUGUUUUGGUGUCCUUAUAUAUUUCUCUGUACUUGUGUGUGGGUGUUCCACUACUAGCGACCCCCAACUAGCUGUUAUGCUGGAAAUAAUUUUUGUAUGAUGUUUCCUCAUAUGUUUUUGUUCUACACUUUUGUACCAUUUAUAAUGUUCUACUACUAGCGACCCCCAACUAGCUGUGGUGUCUGAAACUCUUUCUUAUUGGAAAAUUUAAACAUUUCUUGUAACUAAUAUAACAAGUAUUUUAUUAAUUAUCAUAUCCCUGAUCUCCAUUACUAUAUAUUUGCAGGAGACUGCGUGUGAGUAUUGAACGUGACAUGGGAGGAACCACUGUUGCACCCAAAACAAUAAGAUUUUUUGUUCCAUACUGGAUUACUAAUGAUUCAUCUAUUUAUUUGGCAUAUCGAGUGGUAGAAGUAGAACCUUCGGACAAUGCAGAUACGGACUCCCUAAUGCUUUCUAGGGCAGUCAAGUCUGCAAAAACAGCCUUGAGAAGUCCCACAAACUCUAUGGACAGGAAGCAUUCUGCCACAAGGAGAAACAUCCAAGUACUUGAAGUUAUUGAGGAC